GAUUCAUCUGCUUCUUCUCAUAUCUCAGCAACAUUGCCCGUGAAGUCAUUCAAAUUCCAGAAUUCUUGAGCUCUCUGAAAUUGCUCAGAGAAUACGUUGGAGCUCUUCGCAAGCAUCCAGAAGUUUACACAAAGUUCAGAAAGUAAUCAUUUAUUUUUUGAACUAUAAAAUUAAAUUAAUUUAAAUUCAUUUUCAGAAUGCUAAUAGAAUCAAAAAUCACCACGGAUAUUCCUGCUCUUGACGUUGAAUCCGAUUGGCUUUCAACUCUUCAAUUCCUCUCAACAUGUGGUCUUUUAAAUGAGACUUUUUCAAAUCUACACGAAAAUUGGUGUAUGCCAAAGUAUUUGGAUGCUGUUCAAGAGAAUUCGAUGGCUUUUCUCUUAGAUUUCUUGUUGGUGCUCUGCAACGUGGCAACUCAAAUCUGCUCGGAGGAUAGUUCAGUGUCACAAGUGCUAUAUUCAAUGUCAAUUGUGAAUAAUGCAAUUGAAAACUGUGGAAUUGUGGAGGCGAGAGAGAAAAUGCGAUCUACGUUCAGCAAAUAUUAUUCAUCGAUUUCAAACGGAAAAAUUGGAGAUUUUUAUUCAAUUUCUGCACUUUUAGAUCCCAGAUAUGGCUAUUCACCAAUGAUUUUCUCAGAAGAAGAUUGGGAAAAUGUUGAAGGAAAGCUAUUAAAAGAGAUGAGUACAACACAUCAAAAGAAUCUUAUUGUUCGAAAAGAAUUACAACGAUACAGAGAACUUUUAGUUAAUCGGCCAUUAUUUGAUGAAUCAAAUACUCCAGGAAUGUGGUGGAAUGAUUUACAAGAAGAAUUACAAUUUAUGUAUAAAAAAUGGUUUGAAUAUUCCGGACUUCCAGCUGUAUCGAUUGAUGGAAAACGAUUUUUUGCAAAAGGGGGAAAACUGGCUCAUUUGUUUGCUACACUUGAUGAGGAAUUGCAUUUUAAGGCAAUGCUUUUGGCACAGAGUUCUCAGGAUUUUGUGUAAGUUGAUGGAGAAGAAGAGGUUUUUUGCAAGCCUGCGGCGCGGUUUUUCAAAUUUCCAUGUUCACGUGGUGUCAAAGUGUCCCAUUUAGGUUUGAUCUUCGAGAAAUGCGGGAGAAGAGACGCAGACUUUUCAACUGGCUUUGCAUGGUUAAGGGCGUAAUGACGUCACACUUGUUUGGGCAAAAAAUUUCCGCAUUUUUUUGUAGAUCAAACCGCGAUAGGACACCCUGACACAACGUGCACGUUUUCUUCGUUUUUUUGUGAUGAGGUUACCUGUGAAAAAGUGAUUUUUUGGCACUGAAAAUCGCACAAAAUUUCCCAAGUUUCGCAGAAAAGUUGGAUUUUUUUAAAAAAUUCCUACACAAAAAUGAGGUGAAUAUUACCCAAAUGCGAAAUUUCUCCGAAUUUUUAUCUAAAAAUACGGCGCCCGGUCUCGACACGACAGUGUGUUUCAUUUUGUUAUUGCAAAUGAGUGUGUGCCUGUAGGGAGUACUGUAGUUCACAGCCUUCAAAUUAUUUUUCAUAGUUUUCUUCCCGUUCCUGUAUAAUUUUAUGUGUUUCUGAACGUUUUAACUAUUUAAAAUCCAAGAAGAUUGCGCCACAACAUCGAGUUAGAGACUACAGUAUUCCUUAAAGGCGCAUACUCUUUUUCAAUUAGAAAUUAUCUAUCGCGUCGAGACCUGAAUCGCAAAAUGCCGCACUUGGGUAAUAUAAACACGAAUAAUGGAGAAUCGGUGGCGUUUUUUUCAACUUUUUUGUGAAUUUUUUUCCAAAAUAGCAAUAAAAAACCUUUUGAAAAGCUCGAAUUUCUGCGAUUUUCAGCGAAAAAAUUGGAUUUUCAUAAUUUUCACAAAAAGCUGAAAUAACCGAAAAGACAAGAAACUCCCGUUUCAAAAAAAGAAGAAAGAUCUAAAAACCGCGCCGCAGACUUGCAAAUCGAAGCUCCGCCCCUUUUUUGCGGCUCGAUACAAAAUUCUACUGAAAAAAUCCGUUUUUCAGUGGACGCGGAAGUGCAAGUAUUCUGAUUUUCAAUCAAAUAACCGACGGAGCAAGUACAUUCAGACGGCUUGAAAAUGAAGAUUCAGUUAAAAUGGAAGUUGACGCCAAUGUUGAAGAGACGGAAAUACUGGAGGAUGUUAAACUAGAGUAAGAAAUUUCAGAUUUCAAUGUUUUUUUUCUUCCAAAAAAAAAAUCAAUUUCCAGACUCGUCGAGCAACCGGCUCCUGAAAUCGUACUCCAAGAGAUAAAAGCAGAGGAACCCGACGAUUUCACGGCAUAACUUCACUUCAUUUCACUAAAAUUGUAUUAAUUUUUUGAAUUUGUUGUUAAUUUUUUUUGUUUUGUGAAUUCAAUAAAUAAAAAACAAUCGAAAAUUUCCAACAAUUCACAUGAAAAAACAAUUAAUUGUUGGUUUUUGAGCAGAACAUGUGAAAGUUCAUCGGAUUUUUCCUAGAAAAUACGGCGCCCGGUCUCGACACGAUAUUUUUCGUUAAAUGCAAUUGUAUGUGGUGUCCCAUCGCGGCUUGAUCUACAAAAAAUGCGGGAUUUUUUCCUCGGAAAAGUGUGACGUCAGCACACUCAUGCAAAAUCAGUUUAGAAGCCUGCGUCUUUAUACCCGCAAUUCUCGGAGAUCAAACCGAUAUGGGACAUUUUGACACCACUUGUGUGCUCCUUUAAAGAGUACUGUAAUUUCAACUUUUCUUUGCUGCUGGUUUUCGUUGAUUUUCCCUAGCUAAUAAUCAAUUGAAGAUCUAUGAAAAAUCAAUAAAAACAACGGGACUGGGGAGUAACAGCUUUCUAUGAUUUCAAUUAGUUUUGAAUUGAAAUUUCAAAUAAUUUCAUAAAGAAGACUCAGUUUUCAGACGAAGAAAAGAAUAAAAGCACUGCAUUCGAGCAAAAUGAUGGAAACAAUGGUAACAUUUUUAUAGAUAAAACUUGUCAAUUUAAAAAUAAUUAAAUAAUUAAUUUCAAAAUUAUAAAACAAAUGCGGAUAAAUUUCCGCUUCCGCGUAAUCAAGGUGACGCGUCCAACUCCUUGCGAAUCCACCAAAGGAAGGGGGUUUGAGGCCGAAUAGGCUCAUCCAGUUGGCUUCUUCAAUUUUCGAAGAGAUCACCGCCGCCGAGGCAUCACUGGAGACGCAAAAAACCACCAAUUUGCCUUGCGUUUGUGAUUUGAACGGCAUUGCGAGGUACUCUGCUGAUUCCAGAUCUUCGACUCUGAAAUAAGAUUAUAAUAGAAAUAAAAUAAGUCUAAAAAAUCGAUACCCAAUCGUCUUCAAUAUCAUUUUUAAUUCCAAAUGCGUUGGAUCCGUGAUGCUCUGAAUUGUGGCGUUCACGAUGGAAAAGCGGCGAUCGGAACCUUCCAUCGUCGAGGAGAUGGGUCGCUUGGUGCUGGGCUCGCCGUCUGGAAGAUCCUCGGCGGAUCGCUUCAACGACAUGCUCGCCGACGGCCCAGCAGCUUCCUCACUCGUCGACUCUGGCACCGGAUCAUCGAGUUCUUCGACAGCAUCGGGCGCCAUCACCACCAUCACAUCCUCCUCGUCAACGCGCGCCAUCACCUCAACUUCUUCAUCGUCUUCCAGGAAUAUGGAGCCGCCGGAGUAGUCGGACAAGUAGCCGGACGUCGAGCUCACCGGCGAUCGGAAUGUCGAGAGUGAGCUUAGGGAGCUCACGCUACGACUGGGCGGCGAGUUCCGCGGCAUGUAGUUCCAGGAACCAAUACCCUGAAAAUUGUACGUGUUUUCUAAAUUUUUCAAAUGAUUUUUAAAUUUUGCAAAAUUAAAAAAAUUCAUUUCCGGAAAUUUCGAUAUUUUCGCGUUUUUUCAAAUUUUUCCCAAAAGAAAUUCGCUAAACUUUGAAAAAAAUUAGUCAGAAUUUUUUUUUGUUGGAAAAACAGUCAGAAAAUUAAAAAAAAAAUCAAAUAUUAAUGAAAAUUUGAUUUUUAAAUUUUGCAAAAUCAAAAAAAUUGGCUGAUUUUCGAUAUAAUUUUUUUCUUUUUUUUUCAAAUUUUUCCCAAAAGAAAUUCGCUAAAAUUUCAAUAUUCGUCAAAAAAAAAUUUUUUUUUCGGAAAAACAGUCUAAAAAAUUAAAAAAAUCAAAUAUUAAUGAAAAAUUGAUUUUUCAAUUUUGUAAAAUUAAAAAAAUUGGCUAAUUUCCGGCAAUUCCGAUAUUUUCGCGUUUUUUUCAAAUUUUUCCCAAAAGAAAUUCGCUAAAAUUUCAAAAUUAAUAUUAAAAAAAUCUCCUUUUUUUUGGAAAAACUGUCGAAAAAUUAAAAAAAAAUCUGCCUCUUCCUAUAUUAAAUCCUGAAAUUGCAUUCUUGACAGAAAUAAAAAAUAAGGGCACGUCAAAUAUUAAUAAAAAAUUAAUUUUUCAAUUUUGCAAAAUUAAAAAAAUUGGCUAAUUUCCGGAAAUUCCAACAUUUUCGCGUUUUUUAAAAAAAUUUUCCCAAAAGAAAUUCGCUAAAAUUUCAAUAUUCGUCAAAAAAAAAUUUUUUUUUCCGAAAAACAGUCUAAAAAAUUAAAAAAAAAUUCUGUAGGCGAAUUUUUCCGUAUGUUACCUACUUAGCUAAAAUGUAAUAUUUUUUAUAUUUCCGAGUAUUUUCUCAAUAUUUUAAAUAACAUUUUUUUAUUAUCAGGAUUAUCACAAUUUCGAAAAAUCAAUAGUUUUUUUUCGGAGAAUUUUCACAAAAAAAAAUUACGCAGGAAGAUUCAUUAUUCAGUUUUCCUAGAAAAAAAAACCAAAAUUACUGUUUUUUUGCAAAAAUUAUAUUUUUCCAUAAUUUCCAGUAAUUUCUUAAUAUUUUAGAAUAAUUAUUUUUUCCAUAUAUUUUUGAUUAAUGAAUACUUUUUUUUUCAUAAAAUAUUAAAAAAAAAGUGUUUUUGAUGUUAAAAAUUACCGAAAAAAAUCUCGUUAAAAAGUCGACUUUUUCAAUAAUUCCGAGUAAUUUCUCAAUAUUUUUUUGAUAAAUCAAUAAUUUUUCGUUUUUUCUCAAAAAAAAAAACGAUAAUUUUCUCCAAAAAAAGCCUCCAGGCGACCUAUACCUACAAAAAAACUCACUUUUCGACUUUUUCCUGUUUCUGCGAUCGGGUUUUGCGUCGAUUUGUGGUAAUUAGCUGAAAAUAUAAACUAUAGUUUUUAUAUUUUAACUAUUAAUAAAGAAAACAAGAGAAAAGUGAGAAAAAACAAUCAAAAACUCGAAAAACAUCAGGAAAUCAGCCAAUUAAAAAAUAAAGAAAUUGCAUGGCGCUCACACAGAAAUUUUAAUGCUCGUGUAUUAAACAAGGAUAGGACAUGAGGUGCCAAAAUAAGAUUCAUUGCGCUAAUUUUUUAUAGAACUUAAUACUCUAUUUGUGAAAAAGUGCCUUCGUAGUUUGGUUUUGCAUUUCCCCCAGAUGAACUUGGUUUUGGUACGAGUUUUACUAUUUUUGUCUAUUUUGAAAAAUUGGUCAGAGUCAAUAUCAACUUUGUUCACUAGCAUUUUCGACAAGAAAACUUUAUCAAUAGCUUUACGCCGAGCCUCUAAAGUUGAUAAGUUAAAUAGUUCAUUACGUUGAAUAGCGCUCUUAUAGUCGGGGUCAUCUGUUCUGAUGUAUUUUCCCUUUUGCCUGCUGUUGCGUACGAAUGCGUACGAAUGAAUGCGACGAGACAAGACGAGACGAGAUGAAUGCGAUGAACGAGACGAGACGAGUGAAUGCGUACGAUUUCACGAGCAAACAUUUUUUAACCCAUAUUUUUAAAUUCUAACCUUCAAAAUUCGGGCAAAUUAAACACGAUAAAUUAAUAAUAGGCUCCGCCCGUAUAUUGGAUCUUUUUACGUUUAGUCUCUCGAGGUAUACUCUUUAAACGCACUUUUUCAAAAAAUUUUAUUCAAAUAAGUUCAUUAUAUUUUCAAAAUCGUGAAAACUCUAAUAGUUUCCUCCACUGCUUCCUCCUCCCUGCUGCUGCUCUUGUCCACCUCCACCAUACUUGCUCGGCUGCUGUUGUUGCUGUUGACCAUAUCCUCCUUGUUGUUGCUGUGGUUGCUGUUGUUGUCCUCCACCAUAUUUGCUGCCACCGCCACCACCACCGUACUUGUUUCCUGAAUUUAAAGGCGCUUUGAAUAUCGAAAAAAAUAUGUGGAAUUUAGAAAUAUCACAAAAAAAGAAAACCGAAGAAAUUCGCGGAAGACCGAAAAAUCCGACUUAAAAAACGUGAUUUUUUAAAUUUUAGCUAAUUAUUUGAACCCCCUCCAAAAUAAGAAUUGCAACCAAUCAGCGACUCGCUCCACGUAGUAGUACUGUAGGAUUACUGUAAUUUUGGAAAAGUUAGUUUUUGCCUUUUGAAGGGAUAUUGGUUUGGGGUUAGUGGGGGAUAUGGUGGAGUACUGUAGGGCUACUGUAGGGAUACUGUAGGAUUACUGUAGUUUAAGAAAAAAGGCGUUUUGUCUUUUGACGGGAUAUUGGUUUGGGGUUAGUGGGGGAUAUGGUUGGAGUACCGUAGUAGUACUGUAAGGGUACUGUAGGGUACUAUAAGGGGACUGUAGGAUUACUGUAGUUUAAGAAAAAAAAACGACUUUUUGUCUUUUAAAGGGGCAUUGGUUUGGGGUUUGUGGGGGAUAUGGUUGGAGUACCGUAGUAGUACUGUAGGGGUACUGUAGGGUACUGUAGGAUUACUGUAGUUUAAGAAAAAAAAACGACUUUUUGUCUUUUAAAGGGACAUUGGCUUGGGUUUUGGCUGGGAGAAAAAGGCGGGAAAUUCAAAUUUUCUAAGGAAGACAAUUUUUUGGUAACUUCUAGAAUUUUCAAGAAAGUCCGCAAAAAGUCAGGAAAAAGUAGGUAACUGCACAAAAGGUUUUGAGGUUUUUUCACUUUGCGAUUUAUUGAAACAACUUAAUGUAAGCCUGGUUGCUCUAUAUUUUGAUAUAAUUUUCUGAAAUGAAACCCCUACUCACCACCACUCUGACCACCUCCAUACUUGCUCUUCUUCUGGCCACCUCCUUGACUAUACCCUCUUCGCACUCUCAUCUUUGGCUGCGCAGCAUCCCCAAUAUCUUCUUCCUCAACAUCCAAUUGAACUUCUCCAAGUGGUCCGACAUCUUCCUCAGAUCCUUGUUUCUCCGCCAGAGCAUCCUCUGAAGUUUCACGAAGGAGCCUUGUAGAGUUAUUUGGCGACGGUGCAACGUAUUUCUCUUGGCCCGGAAUAGCCGAUACAGCGGCUAUCAGAAGAAACAUAGAAAGACAUGAAUAGUAUUGCAUUUUAAAGUGUGGAUAGUUUGACGUCUGGGUCCUGAAACCUUUUUAUAUGAACCCACAACACAGUGUACUGUAAGAACCGGAUGCUUGAGGAGAAAAGACAAUUUAUCAAGAAUUAAUGAGGUGAUGAGGGGUAGAGGAGGUAGUAGUUUCUAUUCUUCAAUCGAGUACAAAUGACAAAAGGUACUGAAAGUCAUUGUUAAGGGGGGGGGGGGGGGUUUCUGAUUUUUUUUUUCAUUUUUUCACGUGUCGUCAUAGUGUCCGCUUUUCUGAAAAUGUUCAGUAUAUUUGGCACGCUUUUCAGAACCCAUAGAGUUGCUCCAAAAGUAUACUUCUGUAGGUUUUUGAUGAUUUUAAAGAUUCAGUGGUAAUAUUCUAUAUUUUGGAAAAAAUCUAAAAUUUCGAAAAAAAAAGAAACAUUUUUCAGAUUACUUUGAAAAUGUUUUUCUGAAAUUGCUCUUACAGUUUUUUUUUUAAAUUUACAAUUAAGAGUAGUAAAACAUUUUGUAACUUCUUUUUAAAAAAAACUAUUUUGAAAAAAAUCUGAAUUUUCAACCAAAAAUUGCAUAAAUACUAGAAGAAGUAAAUUUUUCAAAAAAGUUGCCAAAAUCUUUGCUCACAUUUGAACACUUUCAAAAUCACCAUAAGUCUACGAAAAUUCACUUUUGCAGAAUCUUUACGGGCGCUAAAAAAAAGUAUCAAAAUGUACCAAAAAAUUAUUUUUUCGGGAAUUUAUAUGUCCUGAAAUUGCUCGAAAAUUGCAAUUGAGAUUUGCAAUUUUAAAAAUGAUUUUGUGAGUACUUAGAAGUAGAAAAGCAUUUUGGAAUUUUUGCAAUUUCAGAAAAAAAAAUUAAAUUCUCUCUCUCCGCGCCUCUGUAACGUUUACUAAUCUUUGAAAUUGUCAAAAGUAUUCGAAAAACUCAAUUUAAGAAUCUUGGAAACAGUGCAAAAAUUAACUGCUUUAAUUUUUCAUUUUACUCUGAAAAUUUAAGUUGUUAUCGGAAAAAAAAUCAUUUACUUAUAGUAAAAUAUUAAAAAAAAACAACUGUGUAACAUAACCAAGGAUAUGAUAAAACGGCAGUGAUCGAAAAUUGAUAAAAUCUGAUUUUUUAGAAGAAGAAAGUCUGGACGUCUUCCCCGGAUGCUUCAACAUCGGCGCCGCUUCCAUCUGAUGAGACUGCAUCCAAAAGGGUCUGAGCAUUUAAAAUGGCUUCCUUAGCAUCAGUUGAAACAUCUCCUGAGCCGGAUCCUUCCUAGAAAAAAACGAUAGAUUAUUAUAAAAGCUGAGGUAGUUCGAUUAAAAAUUUUCAGCCUGAAUUUCUUUUCAUAAGCUUUACUUUCAAAAAUCUGAAGUAAAAAAUUCAAAAAUCAAAGCGUUUCAAAACCAAGAACGAAAUUUUGAAAAUGUUCACCGUGGUUUCAAACAUGAGAAAAAUCAUAACCACAAACGUAAAUUGUAAAUUGCUCUCACUUUUUGAUAUUUUACUCACUAAAUGUUCACAUAAAUGACGUACAAACAAAACAAGAUAAGACAAAAUUAUGAGAAAAUGUUGUCAAUUCUGACUUUCGUACUUUACUCUUUCAUAUCAAGUUUACUGGUCAAUUUGCGACAAAACAGCAACUCACAAAAAAUGUGGAAUUAUAUGGAAAUUAUCUUCUCAUUAAACUUUGUUUUAUGAGAACACUUUCUUCAAAGUUGUGGGCCACUUAGCAAUUCUAGCUAAAAAAAACAGACCCGUCGGAUGGCACCUGUAACUUUUUUCGGAAUAGAGUUAAAUGAAUUUGACCAAAUUGGUGAUGUAAAAAAAAUAACCAACAACAAUUCGUUUUUUGAAAAUAUUUUGCUAACUUUAACUGUUGUUGAGUUAUGCGUGUUUGAACAUCUCAAGCAAAUCACCGAGAAACCUAAAGCGACACUGCAACUUUUUCCUCACGAGGGACGAGGAAAAGUGGUUUCUAGGCCAUGGCCGAGGGGCCGACAAGUUUCAGCGGCCAUUUAUCUUGCUUUGUUUUCCGCCUGUUUUCUUUUGUUUUUCACAGCUUUUUCCCGUUUUUUCUUAUCAAAACUGAUAAAUAAAUAUUUUUUGCAGAUGCUAAAACAAUUUUCAAGUAAAAAAAUUAUGUAUUCAGUGGGCAAGCAGCGGUGAAAGUGGUCAAUGCAAUAUGAUGGAUUACGGGAAUACAAAACCUAAACUUUUUCUGAAACAUGAUACAUAUGAUGCUAAGAUGCUGAAAUUACCUUAUUUUCAUAACGAGACCGCUGAAAAAGUUUUGAGGUUUUCAAAAUUCAACUUUUUGUGCAAAAAUCUCGACUUUUUCACCAAAAAAGUUGAAUUUUGGAAACCUCAAAACUUUUUCAGCGGUCUCGUUAUGAAAGUCAGGUAGUCUCAGCAUUUAAGCAGCAUAUGUAUCAUGUUUCAGAAAAAGUUUAGGUUUUGUAUUCCCGUAAUCCAUCAUAUUACAUUGCCCACUUUCACCGCUGCUUGCCCACUGAAUACAUGAUUUUUUUACUUGAAAAUUGUUUUAGCAUCUGCAAAAAAUAUUUAUUUAUCAGUUUUAUUAAGAAAAAACAAAAAAAAUUAAUGAAAAACAAAAGAAAACAGGCGGAAACAAAGCAAGAUAAAUGGCCGCUGAAACUUGUCGGCCCCUCGGCCAUGGCCUAGAAACCACUUUUCCUCGUCCCUCAUGAGGAAAAAGUUGCAGUGAGCGACCGGAUUUUUGACCGGAAUAUUGACCGCCACUGGCCUUACAAAGUUAUGGUUUAAAAAAAAGACUCUAGAUGAUUGAAUAAAUGUUCCUAAAUACUUAAAUUCAGCAUUUAGAAAACAUAGAAAUUACUAACCAAAUCAGCUCCAAAUGCUGCUCCAAAGAACAAAAUAACCAGCAGAACAAGUUGCCAGAGAUGCAUAUUCGUAUAGAUAGGCCGUGUUUCAAACUGAACUGAUUUGAAGACUGACAGGUGCUCCGUGCUCCAAGAGAGAAUGUCUCCUCCCUCUUCUUUUUUUUUUUUUGAUGGCACUUUGCAGAAACUGAUUUGAAACACAUUCAUCAAUUGGCGGCAAAGGUCAGAAUGAAUGAGUGGGAGAGAUGAGAUAAAUGGGGUCAUGCGACUUGAACGAUGAAACAAGUGCAGAGAGAGCACAAUUCGUAUAGAUUUAAAAUAGCGCAAAGGAAAAAAAUUUUAAUUUGAAAUUGUUUAUUUGGGUGUAUACAGUAAAAUCAAUAAAUUAAUAAAAGCUGAAGCGAUUAUAAAAAUGUAUUAAUACAACAUAACCGUUGGAUCGAAAUUAUUGGGAGUCUUCGAGCGCUCACGAAUAGUCAAUUUUUCUGUAAAAACCACCAGAGUCAAUGGUGGAAUGUAUAGGGCAACAAGACCACAAAGUGACAUAUAAAAUGCGUAUGAGAGGCUGGCUUGAUUGAAAGUUGUGAAGCCAAUGUCGUGGUGUUCCUCCAGGAGCAUCGAAAUUUUGAAGCUGGAUUGAAAUUGGGAGUAGAAGAGGGCGAGGGCUCCUCCGUGAGAUACAGCUGAAAAAAAAAAUAUCAUAUUUGGCUUUUUCAAAAAUGCAUAUUCUCUUUUACUAUUGUACUCAACUACUUCACUUUUAAAUGUUGUAUAUAUCGGUUUAUUUGGAAAUAUCAAAAGUGAUCAACUACAAAUCUAUAGAAAAGGAAUAACAAAUAUUUUUUAGUUGACAGUAUUUUAAUAGAACAAAUUACUACUGAAAUAUACGCUGUCAAAGUUGAACAAUUGGGUGCGAUACUAUAAAGGAACAUGCGGUCAAAAUGUUGGCGCUUCAUAGACUUGAAAUUUUCAAAAUUUUCGAAAUAUAUUUAAAACAACAUUUUGGAAAAUUGAAAUUAAAUAUUUAGUCAGGCAGGCACCUUGAAAGAGACCAGGCAAAUUUUCGGGUUACAGAAAAAUUGACUAUUCGUGAGCGCUCGAAGACUCCCAAUAAUUUCGAUCCAACGGUUAUGUUGUAUUAAUACAUUUUUAUAAUCGCUUCAGCUUUUAUUAAUUUAUUGAUUUUACUGUAUACACCCAAAUAAACAAUUUCAAAUUAAAAUUUUCUUGGGGGCCGAACCGGGGCCGAAUCUCAGUUACAGGUUACAAUUGUCUUAUUAUCCAGGUCUUGAUUAGUCAAUUCCUGACUUGGGGGCCGAAACCAUAGUCCAAAAGCGAUAAAGAUUAUCCGGACUACUCAUAGACCGAAUCGAGAAUCUUACCGCUAGCAUUUCACCACAUUUCAUACAGUUUCACAUCACAACAGACAUUUUUGAUUGGAAAAGACAAAUUUGCAUCAAAAAAGACAGUAAUUAUCGAUUUUUGGAGCAUUUUGACAGUUUUUGCAUCAAAACAGACAGUUUGCCGCACAUUUUGCAGUUUAUUGUUACAUAACAACACAAUUUUCAGCACAGCAUCGAUUACAUCGUCAGCAGAAAGCAGUUUUGUUGUGGAUUUGGAAGAAAAAUAGCAGAAUCACAGGCGAAGCCAUCGCCAAUUUUACAUUUUUCACAAGAAACUCGGUUUUUUUCAUAAAAAUCGAUAAUUUUCGCGUGAAGGCACAAAUUUUCGGAUUUUCUUCGAGAAAUACUAUUUAUUUCUUGAGUAUACUGGUCUAAGGAUUGAUUUCCUUGGUUUUUGUGGAGAUUUAUUCAGUUUUAAGCUGAAAAUCGUCAGUUUGCAUCACAGAAAGUCUUUUACACUCUCAACACUCUCCACAUUCCGAACACUCUCUCGCUCACUGCGGAGAUUUCGUCGAUAAUCGAUUUGGCGAAGGAAAAAGGAGAUUUUAAACAAUUUUUGGAUUUUUUCGUCUCAUCGGCUACAAAACACAUCGUUCAGUGGAUUUAAAAGAAAAUUUGCUAAAUUAUAGGCAAAUCUAUCGCUGAUUUUUCAAUAAAAGCUCAAAUCUUUGAUUUUCUGCAGAAAUUUUCUAAAAUUUCCAGAAUUUCUUCAAGGAAUACAUCUAAAAGUGUUAUUAUUGGAUUCAACAAAUACAAAGGACUGAAUUUAUUGUGUUUCAUCACAAAUAUUGCAAUUUUCGGACUUAUUUCGUCGAUUUCGUCGCCGAAAGCUCACAUUUCUGUCUGCACACUCCUCUUUCACACAGUCUCUCGCUCCGCUUUGAGAACUUGUCAAUUAUCGAUUUUGUCAAGGGAAAAAGGAUUUCAACAGAGUUUUCACAAGUUUUCUGAAUUAAAAGUUUAAAAAGUAAAACAUUUUCAGAAUUUUCUUGGUUUUCAUUGAUUUGAAGACGACCGAAAAAUCGAUUUUCACACAGAUUUUCGGUUUCAAGGAAGUUUUUCAAGAGGAUUGGAUACAAAGCGUCAAAGAUUCUGAUUUUAGCAUAAAUAUUGAACAGUUAUUGAAAGUUUUGAACUUUUCAUGGGCAAUUGAGCAAAAUGAGCAUUCUUUCAAAUGAGCACACUUUCUACCUUGAAAAACUGCGGAAAGAGGUACAGGAAACAUUUGCAGAAUUCCGUGGUCUCAAGAUUCAAGAUGGUCAAUCAUUUGCAGAUUACUGUAACCGUAUCGAAUACUUGGCAGAUGGAUCGAUUAGUCUAGGAAACUCAAGGAGGUACAUUGAGGCAAUGAAAAGGCUAAAACUUAGGACGCUCAUUUCUAAUGAAUACUAUUAUGUGGCAGAAGCAGAAGUAUGUCGUGCACCACUGGCUGAUCACUAUAAGGUCUUGAAAAACUUUAUCAUUAGCUAUGUUCGAAAAUUGGAAGAGAAUAAAGAAUUGUAUUCUGCUGGAAUUGUUGGUACAUGUAUGCCAGAUAUUUUCCGUAAACCACUGAUUCUUGAAACUCCGACAGCUAUUACACAUGAGUUGACACUACAGUGGACAACAGUUUCAAAUGUUGAAGAGCAAAAAGUUAUGGUUACUGAUGAGAAUUCUACAAUGUCAGAGGUUGAUACCAAAACCUUGAAAGAUCUUGAUGUCAUUAUGAAAAAGUUCAACCUGAACUCUAUAAGUGAAGUUGAGGAAAGGAUUCAAGAAAGUUAUCGUUCAGAUGAUGCUCUUAAAAAGAUUGUUCAAAUUUAUGAAGAGUCACAGAAAGAGUUACAAGAGUUACAUGCCAAAUUCAAUGCAGCACAACAUGACCUAAGAAAUCUUGAACUGAAAUUGCAAAUGGAACAGUAUGAUCAUAAAAAGGCAAUUACAAAAUAUGAAAAUACACCAAAAUGUUCUGAUACAAGUGAUGUACAGUACUUUGAGAAUGUUACAGACAGCUGUGAAGUAGAAUCAAGCAUGAGUUUUUCAAAAUCUCUAAAGGAUUCAGGUAUUAAAAGUUAUGGAAUUGACAAUGAUCACUCAGAAAACUAUUUUGAAAGGGAGAAAGUGGACCAGAAAGCCAAGGAUACAUACUUGGGUCCCCCACUGAACUCCAACAUUUUGGAAAAUUUUCAAAAUUGCGAUUCUAUGUCUAUUGUUACAACUGAAUGUUCCAAAACUGAUUGUGAGACUGAACAUGAGACUCAAAUUAUUGAUUCUCCAGAUAUUGACUAUAAGAAUGAAGACACUGAUGCCAUUGAAAAAGAAACCACAUCAAUUGAGUCAAUUACAAUCCAGGAGAAAUCCUGUGACAAUGAAAAUGAUAAGAUUGAGCACACUAUGCACAACUCAUUGAACAAUCAGAUACAAAAGGCCGGACUACAAAAGCCGGGAGAUGUCGCCUGUGGCGGAUUUUUUGACAAGAAAAUGAAGCGUAGAGUCAAUGAGGAAAUGCGUCCGCGUACAGAUCCACCAACUGACUUGUCACAACAAGCAUGUUAUGGUACAGUAUCUGAUAUAUUGGAUUGGAACAAUUGGAGUCAUGACAAUUGGAAGGAUAUGAGUUGGCAAAGAUUCGUUCGAGAAUCGCGUCCUCGCAAGGAUCCACCUUGGAGUUCGUGCCGUUCGGAAGCUGACAUGUGUUAUGGAUGGAGAUGGGAUGUCAGUCAAGUUCCAUCUUGCUCUCAGGAUUGGAGAAGUCGUCACGUCUUGUUCACCCCUCGUCAAGCUGCAGAGGUUCAGUGACUCCAUCAUUCCUAUGUGUAUUUCAAUAUCUUUUUAUUUUUUAUAUUUUCAUCAGUUUAUUAUUUCCCCAUCCCUUAAGAGUAGUAAUUUUAUUUUAAGUCUAGGUUCCCAUAUUUUCAUCAAUUCUUAUAAUUCUUUUCCCCACCCUUCUAAGUCUAGGAAUUAUAUAUUUUAAGUUAGGUCCUGUGUUAUUAUUCUUUAUUCUCUUAUUCCCUAUUAGGUCCCGUAGAGUUUUUUUAUUUAAUUAUUUUUGUAUCCCCUUUUGGUAGUAGCUGAAGCCCAUUUUCUGUGUGUGUCGGGAUCAGGGAGGCGGAGCUCGAAAAAACCGGGGAUGUCGGGUUUUACCCGUUUUCUCUUUUAUUUUUCCCUCAACGCAAGCUCUUUUGUCAUUUUGACACGCCAAAACCUCUGAUUUCCUGCUCAACAAGUUUCGCGCCUUCCGAUCUUGUUGACGCACUUUCAGUGCCUUGCGCACACGGCGACGCGAAUCCAAGAUUUCUCAUCACUUCUCCCGCAAGAACGGGUGCAAGUCGGUCGACGCCGUGAGGCUCGCCGUUUUUCAUAGGUUUUAAGGUUUAAGGUUUUUAUUGUUUAAGUUUUUUUUAUUGUUUUCAGUUAAGGAGAAAGUAUUGUUUUUCUCCUUGUUUUUGGUAUCUUGGUCUCGAGUAUUUCGAGAUAUUAUUGUUUCUCCUGGUUUUAAAAGACUUGUCUUUCUAAUAAAUUAUUAGUAAGAUAUCAAAAGGUCUUCUGUUCUCAGUUUCUCAGUUUUCAAGGUUACAUUGCUACAGGUUGCAUCAUUAAUAAGGUCUUGGAAUAUCAAAACCUUACUAAAUGUAGGUAGGCACAAGCAGGUGUGAGUUGAUCUCCUUGACGAAAGUCAGGCAAGCGUAGGUCAUUACCCUAGGUACCUAACGUACGAACAUUUUAGUUACGACACGCAGUUUUUUCUAAAGUAAAUUUUAGAAAAUGUUAAAUUAUCGAUUUUAGGUCAUUUUUCGAGUUUCAGCGAAUUGCAUUUUUUUUUGGCUGAAAAUUUGACCAAUUAUGUAAUUAUGUUUGAAGUCAAGUUUCACUAGAAAAUUAUGAAAAUGUUGAAAAUACAUUUUUCACUGUUUUUUCCCGGCAAAAAAAACCCACAGACGCUAUAGCUACCCCACUUUCCUUAAAACUUACAGGAUAAUAAACUCCACAAAUAAAUUCCAUUUGGACCUGCUACAGAAAUGUCCAAAGCCAAUGACGUCAUUGAAAAUACACAUGUCACCACUCCAAUCAUCGACCAAAUCAAGGACAUCGAUUCAAAAAAUAAAAAGAAUAUCCAAACAGUUCGAGAGAAGAAUGAGGUGCCUUCUUGUAGCUCAUUGAACACUGGAUAAUAAAUUUUCAUAAAACGAAAAAAAAAAAAAAAUAGAGCAACCAAACCUGUAAAUCGAGUGUUUACAUCUCCCUGUCCAAAGUCAAUCUCUCGGUUUCCCGCAAAAACGCCAGUGUGAACUGAGCCCGCGUGUUGGAAUUUUCUAGUGUCGAUAACCUCGGCGCGAGCCCAGUACUCGGAGAAUCCAGCGAUUAUAGUGAAGAAGAUACUGGGUAUAAUGGCAUUUAGAAUUUGUCCAGUAGGAAUUAGGAGAAAAUUUUUUAAAAUUUUACAGUCUUUGGAUUUUUUUGUUGUUAAAAAUUCUAAAACAAUUCAAAAAGGAUACCGUGAAAAAAGUUUGAAUUAAUAGGCUAGGCAAGCUUUUGCCUGCCUACUUAAAUGCCUACCGCCUACUUUCUAAAUUCCUCCCCGAAGGGAUAGCAAACUUUGUGCACUAGUUCAGAUUUUUUGAAAUACAAAAUUUGCAGCCAAAAUGUUCCAAAAAAAUUAAAAUAUGUUUAACUGGUUUAUUUAUUUUUUCUAGGGUAAUUUCUGAUGUCUUAACUAAUAAUUUAAGACAUUUUGAAUUAUUUUUUUAAAAACAAUUUUUUUCUAGAUAACUUUUUUAGGAAAAAUGGAAGAAAAAUGGAGCUAUACAGCUAAGUUUUUUUAAUCAACUAAUAAGAUUACAUUUUUUAUAUUGUAAAUUUUUUCUGAAACAACUGGUAAAAAAAUUUAAACACUCUAAAAAUCUUCAAAUUUUGAAACAAUAUUUAUAUUAAUUUUUAAGAGUAAUUUCUGAAGCAAAUAGAACACAGAACACACCUUUAAAAAAAUGAGUAAGUUGUACCUACCUAAAAAUAAAUGCACACAUUGAUAUAAUAAUUGCAAGUUUGUGAGUUUUAUCCAUCAUUACCCAUUAAUAAAAAGAGCAGUGUUCCGUUGAAAAGGAUACAAAUUUCGUUCGAAAAAUGAGAACUUAGGCGCCGAAAUAGGCGGGAAAUGAGAUGUUGUUGAAAUGGACAAAAAAGUGCAGCAGCCAGCGGCUUCUGGGGGUUUCGUAGUCCGUAUUUUCCGUCAGUUUAGGCGCGUACAAACAGAAAACGAGCAGCCUGAUCUGCCGGAUAUCCCUCAUGUUUCGCGACCGUCGUUUUGAAUGUGGAGGCACUGACACUUUUUACGGACGGCACAGGAAGAAAAAAGUUGAGCAAAUAGAUAAAUACAAGACGGGGAUCCCGAGUGAGCCAAAUAGUGAGGAUAAUGACGAUUAUUAGGUUUUGAACCGUGUCUCAAGUGCCAAUAGAGUCUAGGAUCUUUGAAAAGUUUCUUGUUUUUUAUAAAUACGAGUAGGCAUAAAACGCGUGCCUGCCUUUUUUUAAAUCUGCCUGGCUGCUUCCGAGGCAACCUACGCCUACCUACCGGUCUUCUUGCGCUACCUGUUCUAAGCGGCCUACCUGCCUAACAGCCUCCAAGACGACUUUCCUGCCAUCGAGGCAGUCUACAUCUGUCGAACGGGUAUCUUGCGAUGUAUAUUCUGCCUGCCUGUUUUGAAAGCAAGCCAUGCCUGCCGGACUGCAACUACAGCGCCGUCAUCAAGGCGACCUAGGCCUGCCUGACUUAAGUCAGGGGGAGACCAACCCAUGUCUACUUUACCUACACCAGCACCAUGGGUGUCAUUUUUCGAUUUUUCGAUGUUUUUCAGUUUUUCCUAACCUAGUACUUUCUUGCCUGGGAGACGUUCUAUACCAGCCUUGUGCCUUCAAGGUGGCCGACCCUGCCUGACUAAAUAUUUCCAAAUGAAAUUAUAAAAUAAAAUAAAAAACUUCGAAACUCAUGGAAGUUCGAAAAUUCUUUAUUUUCUGACAUUUCUGAAAAAUCCAUAAAAAUAUUCCAAACAUUUUGGAAAUUUCUAGAAUACCGAAAAUUCUUUAACAAUUCAAUCCGAAAAUUGAAAAAUCUAAAGUUCCGAAUUUCCUAAAAACUUCUGAAAUAUAUCAAAGUUAUGAAAACAAAACUCCACAUUUCAAAAAAAAUCUAAAAGUUCAAAUACAAAUUCUCAAAAAUUCCGAAAAGAUUUUGUAUUAAAAAAAAUCGUUUCGAAAUAUUCAGAAAUUCAAAAAUCACCGUUCUUAAAAAUACAAACUCUGCUGUUUUUCAGGCAGGUAGGCGUAGGCAUAGCCACGCCUGAAAACGAAUAAUUCAAGAAAAAAUAUUUAUUGCACAACGAGAAGAUGAUGAGAUAUCAAUAUAAUGGAGAGGAGUAUAAUCAGAGGUUUUAGUUUCAGAAAGACAUGGAAAUGUGACAGACCCGAUUCAAAAACAAUACCCGCAUUUUUUUUGCACAAAAAGUGAAAAAUUAGCCAAACUGAGUGAAGUUUUCCGAGAGAAAAAAACUCAGAAAUUGGAGAGAUCAGCGGCGAAAAACUGAUGUAGAACACCUUGUGACACACUGGAAACCCAUAAAAGGUACCGUUCGAGAUAUUCGAAAUGUAAUGAGAGAAGUGGUCCCCAGUUGGUGAGUAGACCACGUAUCUGAAAUUAUGAUUUUGGUUUUGUUAGCUUACAAGAAUUUCAGCGGCAAAAAGCUCAUUAUUUUAGAAUUUUUAAAGAGCCUGUGGUUUUGCUUUGCUCCGAGAGCAGUUGUUUGAAGAAAAUUUUGGUAAUUUUAAUAGCCUAUAGGACCUUCUGGAAGCUUUUUUGGGGAAAACUCACAAAUCAAAAUUUUUCAGUCAAAACUUUUCAGAUUUUUUUUAUAGGGUUUCCUGGCAUGUUUUGUAGAAUUUCAACAUUUUUUUUAAAUUCUAAAAGGGUUAUUCAAGUAGUGUUUGAAAAUUAAAAGUGUAUUUAAAUACAUUUGUGACGUCAAUUUUCGAUAUCUUUAUAAUUUUCCGACACUACAUUGAAUAACCUCUUAAAAAAUAAAUAAUUAUUCUGGAAGAUUUUUUGAUUUUUUGAAAAGAAAAUUGAAAAAGUUAAAACAAUUUUCAACAAAAAAAUAUUCCAAAAAUCUUCCAGGAAGUUUGCCUAGCGCUAGCGUUUUUGCAUUAUUUUGACAAUUUAAGUAGUGCUGGACGUUAGGAAAACAUUCUGGAACCUUUUUUUUAAUUCUUUAAAUUGACCAGAACAUUUACCCAUUCUUAUGCACCUUAUGAAAUUAUCAAAAGUCUAUUAAAUUCAAUUUUGAAUCAGCUCGGGGGGGGGGGGGGCCUAUAAAUUAUUGGAAACAUGUAUCGAAAAUUUUCGAAAAUUUUUAAGUUCAGCUAGAGAAAAUUCGUAAUUUUUUUCACCAAAAAAAAUUUUCAAUACUUAAUUUUUUUCAAAAAACAAACUUCAAAAAAGUCUAAAAAUAUUUUUAAUAACAAUUUAAAAAAUCCGCAAAACUUUAUUUAUUCCCACGGGUUGCUCCUAAUUUUAUCAAAAUCGGUGGAAAAAACAGAACUUUUUUUUAGGGGGUACAAGCUCUGAUGAGUAAAUUUAAGGUACCUGCUGAAGUUCAUCAAUAGUCUUGACAGAAUGCAACAAAAUCCGAGAAGCUGGAAGUAUAUCGGUAGAAUUCGUUGAAAAUAGUGCCGUUUUCUCAAAUGUGCUCAUUUUCGCAAUCUCCGCCCAGAGAUACUUGCGGAAUGUUGGAUUGUAGUGAAGUGAGAAGUCGGACUGCAAGAAAUUAAAAUUUUCAGAGCACUGAUAUCCAAAGUACCUGAAGAGCUGACGCGUAAACCACUGCAUUCUUAGUGCUUACAAUUGCUCGAGCAGUUCUUCGCAAAAGCUUCUGGUCGUGUGAACACGCCGCGAGUUGCACUGUCAGAGCCCAUUUGGCUCCGGAGGACUGGAGACGGCUAUCGAGGAGGUCUUGCUGUAAUUUUAUCGUUGGAAGUAACUUAGGCCUUAGGAUAGGGGAAAUAGACAACACACUUUGCUCGCCGAAGUGUAUAAACAUAAGAUUCAAGUCUAAAGCUCGAGGAAUAAGAGCUUCAGCCUCAAUAGUUAGGGCCUGAGCCUACUCAUGAAUGUUCAAUCUAAGCAUCAAAGUGUGGAGAAGUCUGUGUUCCAAAACCUAUGGGGACAAAGCCAAGAGCUUCCUAGACCACCCACUCAGAAAAGCCUUAACAGAGAACCCAGAGCUUCAGAGCCCAUUUAAAAGUGCGAAAAGUUGAAGCCAAACGAUCUGACCUAUUAAACCUGCUAUGGUUAAAAAUAGAACCAAAUGUGUGUUGUAAACCUAUUUUUAUUCACAUACCACAGUUUUCACUUCAUCCGGUGUAUUUGUGAAUAACUGAUGACACACUGCGGUCACUUGCUUGUGCACAUCUUCCGUCCAUUCAUCAGGUGAUCGGGACCAUCUUUGAGUCUGAAAUUUUAAAUUUCAGAAUUUCGCAAAAAAAUUCACAAAACGACAAAGCUAAGGCCUAAGCCUAAGCCUAAUAUCUCGGCUCCUGUAAAUCGAAAUCGGCUGAAAAUUCACAAGAAAACUUAUUUCACUGCCGUCCUCCUGUCAUUAAAUUUUCGUGAGCUUAGACCGAAAACUGACAAAACGCCAAACUUUAAGAUUUUAAAAAAUAGUUGAGGGGCAUUUUGAAAAACCUUAAGCUCCAUAACUCGGCGAGUUUUGAUGGAAUCAAUUUGAAACUUCAGACUUAAGCUUCUUGGUGGCCUAUACAACUCUCUGUUAAAUUUCGCUUUGAUCGACCAACGGGAACCCUUUGAAAAAUGAAAAAAAACGCUAUAAACCCAAGCCUAAAUGCUAACGCUCGCCACUGACGCCAAGCCCAGGCCAGAAAAUUUCAAACUUACAUAAUAAUCAUUUUUACAAGACGAGAGUCCAGCUGCACAUCUCAUUUGAUACAACUUUGCUAAUCUUUCCGGUCGAACUAGCCAUAGUGAAGCUGUUUCAGCAUCCACCUGACUUUCAUUCAACAAAUGGUCCAUCUGAGAGAUAACAGGCUCAAAAUAGACAAGAAUUGCCUUAUUCAAUUGAGUUGCCUUGUAGACAUCAAUAAAUUUGUAAACUGCAUCAAUUCCAAAAAGCAUCACUUCCAUUUUAGUCUCAUGUGCCAGAUAUCCAAGAAGAUAGAGAUAAAGAUGAGGAUUCACUGAAUUUGAAAGAAAAUAUUCAGCGUCUAGGAUCAAUUGCAUUCGUGAUUUCUCAUUGAUCUCCAGAUGAUUUUGAUGUAAUGUUCUAGCUAAAAGUUUCCAGUUCAACAAAUCAUAGUUUACUCGAUACGGAUAUUUCCAUUCUGGAUUCACAAGAACCGCCUGAUUCGGAGAGAUCUCUGCGUCUCCGAAGGAAACUGUUCGGUUUUUGAGCCAAAACUCUCGGAUCACUUGUCCUUCGGAAGUCUUUAGUGAUCCGAACAUGUAGGUUAUUGGGAUAGUCCAAAGAUCUUGGGAUGCACCGACUCGGCGAGGUUUUCGAAGCUCGUCUCGACGACUUAUUGGGCUUAUUGAUGGGGGUGUAGAGGUCUGAAUAUUUUUUUAAAAAUUAAUUGAUACUUCCAGAAAAAAUUUUCAUGAAAUUAGAGACAACAAUUAAAAUCUUAAAUUAAAAAAAGUUGGACGAAAUUCAAAUUUCUAACAUUUCAGAAAUAAAUGGCGGAAAAUUUAAAUUUAAAAUUUUCGAAAGUUCGGUGGGAAACUCAAUUUAAAAUUUUCAACAAAAAUUGAAGGAAAGCUAGAUUUACGAAUUUUCAAAAAAUUUAGUUGGAAAUUAGGAAAAAAGGUUUUUAAAAAAUAAUUUUGGUGGGAAAUUCAAGUUUUAAAUGAAAAAACAUGAACGGGAAACUCAAAUUUUGAAUGUUUUCAGAACAUUUUAGAAAUUCAAAAUUUGAAUUUUUCCAACAAAAAAAUUUGAGGAAAUUUAAAUUAAAGUUUAAAAAUGCUGCGGGGUAAUUCAAAAUUGAAAAUUUUCAAAUAAUUUUGGCAAGAUAUUGAAAUUUCAAAUUUAAUAAAGAUUCAAAAAUGUUGGCAGAAAAUUCCAAAUUAUAAAUUUUUAGACUAGACGGAAAUUCAAAUUUUUUAAAUAAAAACAUAGAAAAUUUUGGCAGAAAUUUGAAGUAUUAUAUUUUUGCGAUUUUUCGUCUGAAAAUCCAAAAUUAAUUUUUUCGGUACAAAAUUCCUAUUUUAUUUUCAUAAAAAUCCAGCAAAUAAAACUAAUUUUUCAAAUCUUCAGAUUAAUACAUUUUUUUUUGAAAUUCGAAAUUUAAAAAUCGAUUUUUUGUAACAUUUCGUUGUGUUGAAUAUAAGUUUUACCUAUUCAAAUAAAAUUUGGUAUUCUAAAAAUCUGAUAAAAAUGUCUCUUACCUUCCUCCUAAUCGGCCGAUGCUUCCGUCUCCUAUCCUUCUUCUUCUCAAUAUACCCAUCAAAAAGUGCAUCAUCAAAAAGAGUCGAACCAUCUUCAGCACUUCUACUUCCUCUGAAAGUUUUUUUUUUUUUUGUAAUUUUAGAGCUCUGAAAAAAAGGUACAUACCUAUAUCUAACCGAUGCUGAUGCUUUUCGAUCCUUCAAAAAACUUCGAUAUUCGUGAUGAACGGUUUUUCGUUGACUUAUGGUCAUCAUUUCAUUGUCGUAGUUUCUUCUGAAAUUUUUUUUAAGGGGAAUUUUAUUUUGAAAAAAUUUUAAAAAAAUUCGAAAUUUUUUUUUGAAAUUGAAAACGUAAAAUUUGAACUUUUAGAAGUGUUCCAAAAAUUUCCAAAAUAUUUUUUUUGUUUUUUGUUCGACUUUUUCAAAAUUUCCCCUAGAUUUUGCAAAUCAAACUUUUUUCUCAAAAAAGAGCGCUAUUUAAAGAAUUUUCGGAUAUUUUCCGGCUUUUCAAAAAAUUCACUAACUCGUUCAAAAAAAUUUUUAAACGUUUUUUUGUAUUUUUUAAAAUAUUGUUUCCCCGAUCAAGCUUUUGACAACUUUUAAACUAAUUUUGAUGCUCUGGGCAAAUAAUAAAAUUAUAUUACCGGUACAGAGAAUGAUGACAACGAGGAAAAUUUCGUAAAUCGACACAAAUCGUCUCUUCCGCGCGCCCCGCCCCAUUGGGUCCCGGAUGUCUGUCACUCUCUAACUAUCUACACUCUCUGUGCCGGUAAUACUAACAUAAGAUAUAUGUAUUUUUACAAAAAAAAAUCAUAAUUUUCCGAUUUUCCAAUUUAUAAAAAUAAAAAACAUUUACGAUCCAUCUCAUUAACAUAAACUAAACUUUAUUUGAAAAUGUAUGAGCCAAAAAAACUCACAUCAAUGUGAUCUCUGGAAUUCCUUCAUUCACAAACCAUCCCUCCAACACAUGGCUCAAUUUUUCCUGCUCUGCACCAUGAUCCGCAUAAGCUGGAAGACUUGCAAAAAGGUCGUCCCGUGAAACUGAUCGAUACGCAUUCUUCCGUAAGUACCUACGAACUGCCGCCUUGAAAUCAAAAUCACUGACUAGAUCUCGAAGCAUUCGAAUUAGAACACAUCCUUUCGUAUAGAGAUUAGUCGGAUGGAAUGAUGAUUCAACUUGAGACUCUGUGGCGAGCUCUCUGACAAGUGACAGGCGAUGGUCUUCUUCACUUUGAGCCAGAAUAAGGGAAGCCAGACUGUCGUAGUACUCGAAUUGAGCAGUCACUGGGCGUUCUGUGCUCAUCAUUUCAUAGACAUAGAACGUCGCGAAUCCUUCGUUCAGGAACAGCUCUGACCAGUCACGCAUUGUCACAAGAUUUCCGAACCUGGAAGUUAGUUGUUUGGAAUGUUUUUCUGAAUAUCUGGUUCGACUUCCAGGAAAAAAUUUUCAGAAAAAUUUGGAAUCAAACCAUGAAACCUACCAUUGAUGAGCAGCCUCGUGAGCUAUCAGCUUUCCGAUACGGAACUCGUUGUACAUUCUAUCCACUGUUUCAUUCACGUGAUCUGAAAACCGAAAACUUAGUUUUGAGUCUGCCUUCGUCUGCCUGCCUGCCUCAAAGGACAGGCUGGUUACCCUUCGAAGCAGGCAGGCAGAUCUAUAUCUAACCUACGCGCCUAACCUACGCGCCUAUGCUUGCCUACCUACAUCCAAUGCAACCAUCCAAUGCGAUUUAUUCGUCUUCAAGGUAACCUACGCCUACCUCUAAAACUAAUUAGACUUGAGAUGCUUUAAUGGCUACCUAGCCUUGCCUACCAACGUUCAAUGCAACUUAUGCCCGCCUGCCUAACUGGCUGUCUACGUUUCCCUCGUUACCUUCGCGGUAACCUACUCGCCGGCCUGCCUACCUGUAAGGUGACCUUCAUCUGCUUGUUUUGCUUUACUAUCACAACGAUUUGUCAGUCUCUCAAUAGACCUACCCGUGCCUACGCGCCUUGGAGGCAGCCUCGACUCUACCGCUACCUGAACUAUCUGCCAUUCUUUAAAAAAGUUACCUAUGCCUGCCUACUUGCCUUCAAAGUGACCUACGCCUGCUUUUCUAGCUUUUCGAAACCCUAAUCCUGCCUACCUUUUUAUAGCUACCUACGCCGAUAUCGUGUCAAACAUCCAUCGCUGGAGUUCACGUAUAAGUCAAAAAUAGGCGGUAGGCAGGCAGGCAGGUAAAAAUUGAAAUUAUUCUUACCAGUAAUCGGCGGGGUAUAUGCAAUUGAUGCAAAUUCAAACACCACAAGACCCCAAUUCUCCAUUCCUCCAACGUGGAAAUUGCGAGCAGCAAUCAGAUCGACUUUUGGUAAAGGGUACGGAAUCUCCAGUGCGUCUUCCAACCUAUCAAAUAUCACUGGAGCAUAUUCCAGCGUGAACUUCAUAGACAUCACAUCUUCCGGAUAAGUCCACACUGUCACCGGGAUCCCCCGUUCGGUUCUUGACUCGAGCUUCACAAAUUCUCCAAUAGCAAAUGCCAAUAGAUAUGUAGACAUUGGAGGAGUUGUUUGGAAUACGGUAGUUUUAAAUUGAUCCUCCCAUGACUUGUGGUCAUGGGACUCCACAGGAGGCAUAUUCGAUAAUACCGUAUACUUUUUGUUAUGUCUCACAGAAAUAUUGAAUGUGGCUUUUACACCAGGCUCAUCCCAACAUGGAAAGAAUGCUCGGGCCAGUGUUGGCUCGAAUUUUGUAGUGAAACUUGUAGCCUUCAAUGAGGAAUUGGUCUGAUUGUCAAGAGAACAUCUGACUCCAUCGACGUCUUCAUCGCAAAUCGUCAUGUUAUAGGUCAUCUCGAGAAUAUACUUUCCUUUUUGAAGAGGGUCUCGCAACGAUAUUCUCCCCAAUUUUUUGGAUUCUUCACGCUUAAACGUUUUGGCGUAGAAUUUCUUCCCAUCUUUCCGUAGCCGCAUUCGUUCCAUUUUGAUGUUGGGCCCCAAGUGGAAUUGAAUUUCAUCUUCGGUGGAGUUACCAUAACUUUCCAGGUGGAUUGAUAUAUUGGCACGAAUGAAUAGAUGGGUGUCGAAUUGGGAAAAGUCGAGCUGAAAAUUUGGUAGGUUUUUUGAAACCUGGAGAUUUGAACUUUUAGCAUUUCUGGUCAAAUUAUUGGAAAAAAAUUAAAGUUAGACUUUUCAAGCAAAGUUAUCAAAAAAUGUUAAAUUGAAUUCCCGCCAAAAUUAAUGAUAAAUUUUAACUUAAUUAAUUUCUUUGAAACAUUGAAAUUUUUAAUUUCCGCCAAAACAGUAAAAACUAUGCCUAGCUGCGCAGCUGCAUGCGUGCCUACAAAUAACCUAUUCCUGUGAAAUGUACGCGUAAAGGCCGUUUCUGGCACCCAUAUUUAUAUGCCUACCUGAAGAUCAUAGUGGUACGGUAGAAUGUACAGAGGUAGUGGAACCAGCAAAGCGUCUGUCGACAACUUGUUGGCUCUGACUGCAUGAAGUUGCUCCGCGAUGCCAAAUCCUCCAUCUGCAGGCGGUGGGAAUACAUCGGAUAUCGUGAAGUUUCGCUUCUUUUCCAGCUGCAAUUUUUUCAUGUUUUAAGAAAAUUUGGGUUUGUCUAUCUGCCUGCCUGCCUGCCUACCUGCCUACGCACUUGCCCAGAAGCCUAAGCGGUUGCCAUCCUGCCUAACUUUGAAGGUAGGCACGAGGCAGGUAGGUAGGUCCCUCUCAAAUGUUUAACCCGAUUCCCACACUGGCCCCCCUCAUCAACAAAGUCAAUGGUAUUAGCAUAAUCGUAUUACUGUGUCCUUGGAGGUUAGCCAUUUUUGGCUGGCAGGCAAGGAGGUAGAGUAAUUUGCAUGCGAAAUGGGUGAAAUGAGUGAAAUCGGAUCGGGGUGGUGAUUGACAGUAGUCAUUAUGACAAGCCAAGGCAGCCUAUUUACAUAAUUUGUCAAGUGGUCGCGCGUGAUUUUGGAAAGUUUUUGUUUCGCGGAAAUGAAAAGUUUAUGGGAGUUUUUAUGGUAAUUGGAAAGUUUGACUGAGAAAUUUGAAGAAUCUUUGGUGAGCCUUUUACGUAGGUACGAAGAUGCCUAUCUGUGUGCCUACCAGGCAUGUGUAAGUCGCCUUAAAGGUGAGGUUGAUCUGCCGUGUAGGCAUUAGCCAGGCGAGGUUAAAAAAUAAAAAAUUUGAGCCUGCCGCCUGCAUAGGUAACUGCCGCCUAAAAUUCUGCCUAUUUACCGAUGUGCCUACUAUUUGUCUGGCUAAAUGUCUACGUAGUACUCCGUCUUGCAUUCCUUCGUGAUUGACUACAUACCUACUUGCUGCCUACAAGCUUGUUUACCUGCCUGCAAGGCGCUUAUGUUCUGCAUAAUUCCCUGUUAGACUAAUGUUUGGAAGUUCAGGCAAUCGGCUCGCAGGCACGUUACUUUUCAUACGCCUGCCUACGUGCCUGGCCUACCUACCGAAUAUUUUAGUGUUAAAAAGCAAGCGAGUCCCCCUCGAAAGUCAUGCGAUUCUUCCAUCAUUUCCCUCCCCAAAAUCGUUCGUGAGAAAAACGGCAACGAAAAAAGUUAUGAGCACACACCGGGAUUAGUCUCUCCACAACUCGUGGCGGCGUCUUUUUCUUCGAUUGUCCUAAAGCAGCAGAAGAUGUUGUUAGAAGAUGUGUGUGAUGAUGGCUCAAUGAUUCUGGAGUGGCGGUGCUUGUGGUGUAGAUGCCUUCGAGAAGGUAGGCCUCCGCCAGUGUGAUGUUCAACUGAAAACCGAUGUUAGUUUGUGAAAGAGGAGGUUAGUAGGUUAAGAUUUGUUUAGGGUAGGCAACCACGUACCUGCCUAGAAUGAAAGUAGGCGUAGGCCACCUACUCAUGCUGCCUAUUGGUUUUUCAAAAGGGCAUGAUUAGUAGGAAGGUCAAAUGAUUUUCUUUUUUCUUCAAAACAAGCAGGCUUGCCUAUAGAGAUGGUUAGUAGAACAAUCGGUUUUUUCUAAUAAGGCAGGCAUGCCUGCCUACAAAGCUUACACCUACCAUAGUUCUAUUGCUCAAUUUUUGAUUUUCUUCUGAUAUCCAAUGUCCGAUUAUCAAAGCAGCUAGAAUUGCUAGAAGAAAUAUUGCAUGGAGAAGAAUUACGGCUAUACAUUUCCGAGCAAAAUCCGACUUUCGACGUCGCGAUUCUGAAAUAAUAAAAUUUAUUAUUCUCCCAUUGAAUGAAAGCCAUACCCUGCCGAAAAUGUACAGUAGCCGCUGCACCGGAGCCAUUUCGAAUGCACGGCUCACCUUCACAAAUUGGAGCCAUCGAUUUGAAAGUGGCACUCAUCGAGGAAGUCGACGAGUCAUUGCUUUUGAGCAGUGGGUCCAGUAUGAAUACAGAUUUGAAACCUAUUUUUGCGCUGGAAAAUUCAAAAAAUUUAAAUUUAAAAAAAAACUGUAAAAGGUUAACGUUAACGACAGAAAGAGCAGGGGUGGGCGGCAAAAUUUUUCGGGCAAAUCGGCAAAUCGGCAAUUUUCCAGAAAUGAAAAUUUCAGGCAAGCCGCCAAUUGGCCGGAAUUCAAAAUUUCUAUUUCCAAUAAUUUUUUUGAGUGAAAAAAUUUCAGAUUUUUUCGAAAUUUUUUUUGCAAAAAAAAAUGUUCACGAAAAUAACCAAAACGUAGUUGGAGAGCAAACUAGAGUAAUUUUCUAUGAAUGCAAACAAUUUCAAAAUGUAAGACAUUAAGAAUAUCUAAUAUUGGGGCGGAGUCUAGAAGACAUAAGAAAAGUUUCAAUUUCAAUAUCGCAGCCAACCCACUUUUCUCAAAAUCUCAAAAACCUAUCAAAAAUUUUGAUGGGAAACUGAAGAGCGGGGGAGAGAUGACCACCAGAUGUAUGAUUGCAUAGAAACACUAAAAUGUACGAUUUUAUAGUUUUUAAACUUCCUGCCUGUGUAGGCACAGGAUAGGCAGGUAGGUAGGCCUGUUUGAGCUUUCCUGAAAGGGUUUUCAAAUCUCAUUCGUUGAGGCUAGAAAAUCCAGGGCCUACCUAAAAAAAAUUUAGGUAGGCACGAGGUAGGCAAAGGCUCAGUAGUCAGGCAGGCGCUCACUUUUUUUGUGCCUACGUGGAAAUUUUAUAUGUUAGAAUUUUUUUUAGUUGCCGUUGGUUUUCAAAGGCAGGUAGGUUUUUUUUUGUACUUGGUAGGGUCUCCAAAUUUCAACAAAUAAUUGAAAAAAUUUUCAAAGUAGGCGUAGGUCACCUAGGCACCAGGCAUUUUUUUAGGCACGAAGUUGUCGUAGGCUUUUUCAAAGACAGACAGACCGCUUUUAAUGUACUUAUUUAGAAGGAGGAUUCCUAAGGAAAAAAUAUUUCAGUUAACUUUCGGCACUAGGUAGGCAGAAUUUUGUGUGCCUGCCUACCUGCCUUCCCAGAAAAAAAAACUAUAUUUUUCUCAAUAAUAACCUUUGAAAAGUGACAAUUAGUGCAAAUAACCGAGCAGACAAAUAAAUAGCAGCCAGAAAAAAAAUAGAGAGGACAAACAUCGACAAAUCCGCCGAAAAAGAGAAAAUCCGUUGCAAAAACACUGUAUCGAAUUUCCAAAUACACACACACACAUAUAAAUAUUCACUAAAUAGAAAAGAAACAUAGAAUAAAAAAGACAAAGAAUCUGGAAAAUUGAGAGAGAGAGAGAAAUGAGCUUUUGAAGAAAAGGAGAAGAAGUGUAGAGAUAUACAUCUUACUGAAUGAAUGAAAAUGUUUGUUUCUAUUGUUUUCUUGUGAAAAGAGGCUAAAAGUGACUUGAAAAUGACUAAUAAUUAUUGCAAAGAAGUGGGAAAGGGGCCUUGUGUUAUUAAAGUUUUUUGAAAAUUUUAAAGUUCUGGAUUUUAACUGCCUUUUCAAAAAAGGUUCUAAAAUUUAAAAAAAAAUAAAUCGGUGCUUCGGCUUCGGCUGAGACUUAGGCUGCGGCUUAUACAUAGGCUUAGGCUUAGGCUUAGGCUUCGGCUGAGACUUAGGCUUCGGCUUAUACUUAGGCUUAGGCUUAGGCUUAAAAUAAUGCCCCCCUCCCAUUGUAAUUGUUUUAAAUUGAAAAAUCUAAAAAGUUUUCAAAAAAUAUGAAAAACCUUUCAAAAAUUUUUAUAAAAAAUUUAAUUUUUGAUCGGAAAAAACUUUAAAAAAUUUUUUUUAACUAGGGAAAAUUUUCAAAAAAUCUUUAUUUUUUCAAAAAAAAAUAGGAAACCAAAUUUUUUAUUUUACGAUUUUUCUCUCAUUGAAAAUCUCUCACUUCCAAAAAAAGUAUUUAAAAAGAUUAAAGAAACUCGAAAAAGUUUUUCAAUUGAAAUUUGAGCAAAAUUUAAAAAUUGCAAUAAAUAUCCAUAAUUUUUUUCACAAAAUUUCCGAAAAAAAAAACCCUAUUUUUCAACUUUUUCCAAAACAAAAAAAACACCGCUUAAAACCUCGAAACCUAAUCUAUGAAACAAAUCAGUGUUAUAAUCCAAAUAGAUUUACACUAUGAACAAAUGCAACAAGCAAAAGUGUGUCUACUACUCUAUAUUUUCAAUGGGGUGGUGGUUUACAAUGUAACUGUCCUGUCCCAGUUGAACAUACAGUCACUCACGGCAGCUAUAAAACGGUCGUAAAACUGACAAUGACGCGCACAAGAGUCCUGUUGUUUUGAGAUUUUCAAAUUAUCCAAACAAUUACAGUAGCCAGGUGUACUAUAGUGCUCCCUAAGUUGACCUACGGAAAUUGCGGGAAAUUUUGCAGUGGAACAUUGUGACGUAGAUAGGCAUGUAGGUAGGUAGGCAGGUAGGCAGACAGGUAGGUAGGUAGGUAGGUAAGUAAAUAAGUAGGUACAUGGCAGGCACAAGACCUAACAAGUGCGCAAGUAAGUAUACAUAAACGCUUGUUUCGCGCCUACCACCACACUACAAAAACCAUGCAUCUGUACUUCACGCCAAAUUGGCAGAACAUGGGCGAUAGGCAGGUACAAAGGUCGGCACAUCAGCACCGAGAAAUGCCUAGAUGCAUGCCUAAUUAUCAAGCACAACGGCCUACGACUGCUUCAUCAUGCCACCACACACACACUGGAUAUUUCUGUAAAUUGGUUAGAAAUAGGUGGUAGGCAGGUACAAAGGUUGGUAGGUGGGCACAUCGGCAGAGUUAGGCAUGCCUCGAUAAAUAUAUGCAGAAUUGCCAGGUACAAGGCUAGGUAGAUAUAAACAUACGCCUGCGUUGUGCCUAUAACUGAACAUUGUGACACCAUAUUUCACGGAAAAUUCCAGAAAAUAAGUUGUAGGCAGGUAUCUGAACAUAUGCCUGCCUAUCCUAUAAGAAAGCACAUAUUUAAAAAAUAAGAAUUGGUGGAAAAAGUUCACCAUUUUGAUGAUUUAGAUUUCGAUAAAAAUUAUCGCCAAAUGUGCAAAAACGUUCAAAAAUAGAACAGAAAACCUAUAAAAACCCCCAAUUUCCUCAAAAAUUCAUGACAAUACCCAAAAAGUCGAGAAGUCGAGAACAUGAAAAAAAAACCAGUGAAUGAGUAUUGCGGAGCAGUGUUUCGAGAGAAGUCCCUGAGCACAUAAAACAUGUAAAACACAUGUUCUUGAUGUGCCUGCCUGCCCGGGGCUGCAAAAACACACUGUUGAGAUACAUAGGCCGGAAAAAACGUCUGUGUGAAAACCCGAAGGGCAACAGAUGGUCUACAUGAAUGUGUGUACCUAGAGAAGUGUUUUUUUUUCUUGAGGGAAAGUAGUUGUACUAGGUACAGAGGGCAUUUAUUUAUAUAAUUGGUAUGAAAAAUUAUGAUUCAUUAGUUUGAAACUGGGUCUCCAUAGGUAAGUGUUUCUAGGCGUACCUUUCUGCUUGCCUACGUGCCUAGGAGCCCGCCUAGAUGCCUAUUUGCCUUACGUUUUCUUAUCUACUUGUCUGCCCAGAUAUGUACGUCCUAGAUGACUCCUAAGAAAAGGUAGACAAGGCCGACCUGUAUGUCUGCCUACCUGUCUUCUACCUACCUCCGUGUUUCACCAUGCCUGCCUGCCUACGUGCUUGCCUAUCUAUAUGCCUACCUACGUCCCUGCCUGUGUACCUUCGUACACUCCCACCUGCUCACACUAUUGCCUCAUAUGCCUAUUUGCCUGCGUAUUUCAUACCGGCUUACUACUACGUGUCCCUGUCUACCCACCUACAUACCUGGUUUCCUACCUACGUGCCUGCCUAUAGGAGUUUUUCAUGCCCGCAUACGUACCUAUGAUGUUUCAUAUCAAAAUGUCUACGUAUACUAUUUAAAGUAUGCAAACCAGUAGGCAGGCGUCAUGUGCCUAAAAAAUAGCAAAAGUUGAAAAAAGUAGUCGAAAAAGUUCUACGUUUUGCAGUUUUAUUUUUUUAUUUUGUUAGGAUACACAACUUCUGGUAAAGAUGCCUACCUACGUGCCUGCCUUAUGAAUGUCUGUCUCAUGAAUUUCUGUAUAUGUGCCUGCCUUGUACCCCCACCUGCCUACAUACACGCGCUCUAUGCCUACUUGUAUGCCUGUGUACCAGCUCAAGCCUACCUGCCUCAAGUCUUUAACGGAAAAAAAUAGAUGCUCACAAAAUGGGUACAAGGUAGGCAUGGCUUGUACCUACCGUCUAAUUGAAACAACUUACUCAAAACUACUAGAGCAUGAAAAUUCGAUCAACUAGCACACAAUAAAACUGACAAACUAAAACCAAAGUUUUCAUGGUAAAUGCGGGGGGGAUUACGGUGAGAAUGUGAAUGCAAAGUAUAGUUGUAAUCUAGGCUAUUCAGACACGUCUCCGGACCCAUCAAAAACGAUUAUGAAGGCACAGGCCCCGUGUAUGUGACAGCGGGAGAAACUAGUUGAAAGAAGCCAAACGGGGGAUUAGAAGAAAAAGGGAAGAGAGCGAGAGAGGACGUUUUUGUGCUGCUCCGAAUGGGAAAAAGAAUGAGCAGUUUGCCGAAGGCGGUAAGCACUUCUGGACGAACUAACUUAAGGAAGCGGGGGACGGGAUGAUAAAAUGGAUUAAUAACGGGGAAGAUAUUUGCGAAUAGACAGGGAAAAGAAGGUUAGGAGAGUGGAGAAGGAGGUUCUAAAAAUUUGGGAUUUUCUAGAAAAUGUUUUCGAUAUUUUUUUAACACUUUCUUGAAUUGGUCUUUGAUUGUUGGUUAUAAGAAAAUCUGGUAACCUGGGGGGUUUUUGUGCAGCCGACACCGAACGAUGUUCGCGAGGAACCAGCCAUUUUCUCUUGUUGUCAGCGUUUUUUUUUAGGAGCUUCUAUCUUAGCUCCUUUUAAGGGUACAGCUUUAUUUUAAGUACAGAACAGGGGUGUGCGGCAAAUGGAAAAAAUUGCCGAGCUCGGCAAAUCGGCAAUUGCUGGUUUUUCAAAAUUUGCCGAGCUCGGCAAAUUCGGCAAAUCUCUUUUUUUAAUAUUUGCCGAGCACGGCAAAUUCGGCAAAUUUGCCGUGCUUAACAAACUCGGAAAAAUUUGAUAUUUUUUAUGUUUUUUGGAGCACCAAAACUACUGAAUUCUUAACACACAUCUGGUUUCUGAAUAAGUUCCGUGUAGUAUGUCUGUUUAAGCAUCAAAAUAGCUCAAUUUUGUGUCAUUUUACUAAAUUUUUGGCUAAAAAAUCAAUAGUUUUAGUCAAAAUUGUACUGUCAAAUUUUUGACGUGUGCGGCAAAUUUCGAAAUUUGCCGAGCUCGGCAAAUUCGGCAAAUCUACUUUUUUGAAAAUUGCCGAGCUCGGCAAAUCGGCAAUUGCUGGUUUUUUUUAAUUUGCCGAAUUCGGCAAAUCGGCAAAUUUGCCGAGCUCGGCAAGUCGGCAAUUUUCGGCAAAUCGGCAAAUUUGCCGCACACCCCUGGUACAGAAUUAUAGAGAAAAUAUAAGGAGCAUUUUGUCAGUUGAAAAUUUUUUUGAUAAAAUCAAAAAAAAGCGUGAUAUGAGCUGCCAAAGCUGCCCAUGCACUUGCCCAUGGGCUAGGUGCGAAUCAAAGUUAGGCAGGCACGUACGCAGGUACACCUCAGGUGUGUAGGCACAGGCGCCAGUGACUGAAUUUGUAUCGAAAGUUUCUAGAUUUUGCGAAAUGGAUCAUCAUGGAAUAUAUAUUCCAAAGUUGAAAAAAAAUCUGAAAAACGCUAGAUUUUAAGAGAAAAACAUGUAAACUUUAGUACAAAAUCAAACAAUUUCAGAUUUAAAAAAAUUCUACAAAAAAACAGGCUAUAAAUGGGCGGGGCUGAUUGUAAAGAAAAUUAAAAAUAUUCUGUAUUAAACUUAAUACUUUUUGAUAGAUUUUUUCCAGCAAAUAUUUUUUUUUCAUUUUUUGGCAGACAGGCAUAAUGUAGGCAUGCAUCAAACAAAUGCAGGCACAAUAGGCACAAAGGCAUGCCUUUAAAAGUGAGAAUAGGAAAUUAGGAUGAAUUUCCUAACCUAAUAUAAAUCCUAAAUGAAUAUUUCAAAGAUGAAAAUCACACUGAAUAGAAUUGAAUUUUGAUCGAAAUUGAUACCAAUUGGGGGGGGGGGGGGUGACUUAUCAAUUUCGGCGUUUUUCGAAACCUUUUCAGUUUGAACGUAUCUAAAAUUUUGGACAAUUUUCCAUGGUUUAGGGUAACCCUAGGGUAGGUAGGGUGAGGUCGUAUAAUUUGAUACACUCUCAAGAAACAGGGUGUGGUAGUAGAAGGGAGGAGGAAUAGAGGUAAUGCCGUGAAUGGCAACACAAACAGCUAAUGAAAUAUUGACCUAAAUGAAAGGUGGUAUGCAAAUAUUUGGAUUAUUCAGCGAAAAGGAAGUUGUGGUGGGCUUAGUUCUAGAACUACUGAGAACUACUGAAGAUUAACUUGAGUUUGUUUAGGUUAGUAGUUAUUCUCGAUGAAGGGGGGAUUAGCCUUUUUGAAAAGGUAACGAGAAAGUUUGAAUAUUUAGAAGAUUUCAGAGUUUACUAACUGUUGUGCCUGCCUGCCUAUAGGUCAUCGCAAUGCGUGCCUACGUGCUUACCUACCUACAUAACUGCCUACAUACCUUCGUACAUUAACAUCUGCUUAGGUCUAUAUAUAAACGUGCCUGCCUACCUGCCUACCUACUUUAGAUUUUAGGUAUACUGCAAAAUAUAACAAAAAAUGUGUGAAAGUUUGGUUACAUCUUUCAAAAAUUAUUAAAUUUGAUCCUGAAUUUUUGGAAUUACAGUAAACUCCGUCAUUUAUAGGCUGUUUUUUUCUCGAAUUUUGAAAAAAAAUUUUAAUUUUGGAAUUGAUUUUUGGAAAAUGAUUAUGAUAAAUAAUUUCCCAAAAUCUAGAAAUUUUGAUACAAAUUCAGGCACUGGCGUCUGUCUACAUACUUGCCUACACACCUUAGGUUUGCCUGCCUACGUGCCUACCUGAGGCGUGCUUUUGUACAUGCCCACUUAGUCUGCCUACAUGGCUACAUGAUUUGCUGUGUGUUUACUACCUCAGGUUUGCCUGCCUUCAUGUCUGCCUACGUGCCCCUACCUUCAACACGAGAAAUACGCUUGUUCUAGAAAACUCCACUAUUUCAGGAAAUAAUGAAAUAUGAAAAUUCGUACAGUUAUUUGAUUAUUCACAUGUCUUAUAAAAAUAGGGGAUUUCUAAAAAAUAUUGUUCGGACGGAAUGGAUAUAAAUUGUGAAGUGAAGAGAAAGAAGAAGAAAUGAAUCAAAAACAAUUGUAAAUUCGUAUUUUUCUGAAUCUCCGCCCAAUCAAAGAGAACGUAUGUUCCCCUCCUAGUAGUAUCCGCACAUCUAAUAAAUUAUGCGCAUUUCUUUCAGCAGACGCACUUUUUUCUCACUAAAAAAUUAAAAUAAAAAAAUAAAAAAUUUGAUUUGAAUUGGAACAAAUAAAAAACGACGGAACACAGUGCGUACAAAAAUCGGAAUGUCACCGUGUGUGAAUGUGUGAUGAUAGCGAUUAUUAUCAUAAUCAAUCAUUUUUUCGGUACGUUUACCGACUUAUGCAGGUGAUAUAUAUAUUAGGUCUCCAAAUAAGUUUCGGGUCAAAAAUCAUAACUUCUUUCGCCUUUUAUCGAUUUUUUUGAAACUGUGAGAAUUUAUGUUAUCAACUAUGAUCUUUCAUUUUGAUAUGGUCACAAAAAUUUUUGACCACUCGGAGUGCCCUAACUCGAAGCCAAUUUUUUCAAGCAUUUUUCUGAUCCCGCUUCUUUGCAGCUUUGAAUUGAGGUUUAUGUGCGGACUUUGCUUUGUUUAGAAUACAUUGUAAGAAAACAAAAAAAGUUUGGUAAAAAAUCCGUCCAAACAUUUUUUUUGGUCGGUGGUCAAAAAAUUUUUUUUUUCGAAAAUUCUUGAUUUUUCAUACAAAAAUGAUGUAGUCAUGUGUGAUCUAUUUUUACAAAUACAAAACAUUUUAACUAAGUUCGUCACACUCAAAUGAUAAUAGAAAACAUAAUUUUUUCGAAGAAUUUUUGAGUUUUUUGAGUAUUUCUCGAGAUCCAAAUUUCAAACUCAAAUGUUUUGUAUCUUUAAAAAUAGUUUACACAUGGUUCCAUCAUUUUUAUACUAAAAAUCAAAAACCAAAAAAAAAAUUUUUUUUGAAGUUUUUUUGACGACCGACCAAAAAAAAUUUUUUUGGACGGAUUUUUUUUCCAAACUUUUGUUGUUUUCUAAUAAUGUAUUCUAAACAUAGCAAAAUCCGCACACAAACCUCAAUUCAAAGCUGAAAAGAAGCGAGAUCAGAAAAAUGCCUGAAAAAAAUGGCUCCGAGUUAGGGCACUCCGGGUGGUCAAAAAAUUUUGUGACCAUUUCAAAAUGAAAGGUCAUAGUUGAUAACAUAAAUUCCCAAAGUUUCAAAAAAAUCUAUAAAAGGCAAAAAAAAGUUAUGAUAUCGAGGAGAGAUUAUGAAAAAUGGGCGAAAAUAUAGGCAUUUUCAGAAAAAAAACACAUUUCCAAUUUUUUUUUCGGAAAAAAACUCGAAACUUUUUUUUUAUUUUUAUUUUUCAGAAUGCUCUUUAAAUAUUGAAGAACUCUGUUUGAAAAAUAUGUUCAUGUCAAUUUAUGUGCUUUGAUUUUAAAGAAAAAAAUUACUUAAAAAAUAAAACUUAUCAGUUUUUUUUUUAAUUUUCAAGUUUUCUACCCAAAAAAUUAAAACAUUAAUUUUUCCAAAAACGUCUCAAAAGCCUUUUUCAAUCAUUUUUUUAUUUCUAAAAGAAAAAAAAGGUCAAAAAUUUGAAAGGCUGGAGAAUUUUCCCGUAAAAAAACUAGGUUAAAAAUAAAUUCCAAAAAAAAAAAUAUUUUCAAAAACAUUUUUCAAAGGCUUGUAGAAUUGUUCUAAAAUAUUUUAAACUAGAAAAACGGUGUUAAAUGUUUUUUUCCAAUAAGAUGAAUUUAAAAAUAAAAGAAAAUGUUUCAUAAAUAUAUAAAAAUUUCAAUAAGCUAAAAAAUAGAGCCAACGCCGAUGGCAAAAAGUUUUUCAAAAUUUUCAGUCAAAGUUUUGGUAAAUUACCAAAUUUUCCGAAACGUGGAGAAAUUUCUAGAAUAUUUAAAUUAAAACACAAAUUAAUUAUAAAACUCGCUUUUUGGUUGUGAAUUUAAAAAAACUCCAAAUUUUUUCGCGAAUUUCACUGUAAAAUUUGAACAAAAAUAAAGAGAUAGCGUUCAAAACUGCCAAAAAUAUAUACUAAACCACUUUUGGAAUAUCUUAUUCAAUUUAUCAUAUUCCAAACUUGUACCUACAUACAAGAUCGACUUCACCAAAGUGGUACUCCCACAGGGAAAAUUGGGGGAGACGAAUAUGUAUUUUCUUAUUCUAUUCUUUUCCAUAUUCUUAGUCCCUCCUCCCAUCUUCUUGUGUGUGAAGGCAGUUCCCCAACUGCCAGGAGGCUCCGAAAUAAAUUGAAUCAAAAUAUAGAUGUGUUGGUGGUGCCGCCCCUUCCUCCUAUUCUACGCAUUUAACGCGCAUCGCCAAAUGACGGAUGGAAAGUAGAAAAUAUUUUUAGAAUAAUGAAAAGAGAUGAACCUGCCUAACUUUGAUAUUCACAGAGAAAAUAAUUUAAAAAUUUAAAACCCUUCCAUGUUGGCACAAAAAUGAUGCAUUCUAGGCAUGUUAUGCCUGCCUUGUAGGCACGCAGGCAGGCACGCCUAUUGACAGGUGGGUUGGCUGUAGCAAGUAGCCUUUCGCUCACCUCAACAUGCCUACGCGACUGCCCGCCUACCUGCCUGCCUAUAAAACCACUUGGAAACCUAUAGUUUUAUCAAAAAAAAAAAAAAAACCUAUAAUUUUGAAAUAAAAAAUGCUAUUCGGCUGAUGAGGCAGGCAUAUGCAGGAAAUUUCGUGUUGGUACUUGUGUAUUACAUGCCCUCAUUUUUAAAUCAAAUUUAAUGUUCAUUAAUUGACUCCAUUUAAAUUAAACGUAAUAUACAUUUUCCCUUUUUAGGCUUAGAAAUUGCUAUUUUCUAAGCCUAAAAAUACAAAAGUGUGGUUCACGUUUUUAUUUCGCAUAACUUAAAAAAUUACUAUUAAAAUGAGGGCAUGUAAUACACAAGCACCUUCGUGUUUUUAAAAAUAGAACAAAUUUAAAGCCCGCGGGGUCUAAUUCUAAAAUAAAAAGCAUCAAAAAUAGCCGGAAAAUCGUCAAUUUCAUGCCUUCAGAUCUCAAAGAAUUCCCGUCUCGACACACCGUUUCAGAUAACAAUCUCUUACCAUCUUGAACAUUAUUGAAAACAGUGUGGAGGAUGAAGAGACGCAGAGAAAAAGACAACAUUCAGAGAUUGGAAUCUCGAAGAGAAAAGGAAAUUGGAAAGGUUCCAUUUUAGAAAAAUUUAAAAAAAAGGUUAAAAAAAUUAAUGAAUUUUUUUUACAAUAUUUCAAAAUAGAAGUUCAGUUCAUUUAAACUUUACCCCAACUGCACCGGAUGUUCGCUCGAAAAAAAUUAAAUCGAAAAAAAGUGUGACCUUUUGGAGCUGCGCUUUUGGAGCAACGAAGCGAACGAAAAUUUAAAUAAGGAGUCGAAAAUGUGUGCGAGAUUUGAGAUUUGGUUUUUGUUUAGAGGGAGAAAAUCGAGUUUUGGAAGAGGUAAAGAAGAAGAAAAAGCGAAAAACUUGAAGACUCAAGUGCUUUUUUUGGAAUAUUCUGGUUGGAAUGAAGUGAGAAAACCAAAAAGAAGAGAAAAGGUAACAACAACAAACAUCACAAGUAUGUACUACUGGAAUCUAGCUUCCAUAUCCAUGUAUGUUUUUUUGAAAGAAAAUGGGAAAUUUAUAAUAGUUCAAAUGAAAUUACCAAAUCAUUACUAUAUCAUCAUUUAUUUACUAUAUAUAAAGCGCUUAUUCCGUUUGUCCAUAGUUUGUAGUCUAUGUAGUCUUUGUAGUCUGUGAAGUUUUGGCUUCUGGAGGGAUAGUGAGUUGGGCUUAGUGUAGGGAUAUAAUCGGGGUGUUGUAGUGGUACAACAGGGUUACGGUAGGAGUACUGUAUGAUUACGGUAGUUUCAGAAAAAUUAGUUUUCAGUCCCAGAAGUCGGGGGCCGCGCCGGAGGUGCGGUCCACGGCUGGUUACUAUAUAUAAAGCGCUAUUCCGUUUGUCUCUGACGUCACGGGUGACGUCACAACAUUCAGCGCAAAAAUUUAAUUGGGAAAAUUUUGAGGCUACUUAUGAUGAAUGUGCACCCGACAUCGAUCGAGGUACGCGAUAAACCACUCGACACUUUCCGAAAACAUUUUGGCGGGAAUUCAAAUUUUAAUUUUCCGAAAACAUUUUGGCGGGAAUUCAAAUUUCAAUUUUUAGAACUCAUUUUGGCGGGAAUUCAAAUUUUAAUUUUUCGAAAACAUUCUGGCGGGAAUUCAAAUGUUAAUUUUCCGAAAACAUUUUGGCGGGAAUUCAAAUUUUAAUUAUUUGAAACCAAAUUCCAAAAAUUUGGAUUUUUUUAGACAUUUUUAACACCGCUGCAGAUUUGAAUUUCUAGAAUGUUCAAUUAAAAUGCCAAUGAAAAAAAAUUGAAAAGUUUAACUAUAAUAUUUGGUCACUUUUAGCAAUGAUUUUAUAUAAUUUAAAGUGGUUCCAUAGAACUUCGCAACUGACAACACUCCGCUAACAGGGCAAGUUCCACUAAUUUUUUUAAUUUGGAAAUUAUAAACCUUUUAUCAUUUAAAAAAAAAUUAUUGCUUUCUAUUGAAUUUUUAAUUAAAAGUUUGAAAAUGGGGCUCAAUUUAUUGUGCAAAUUCAGCAAAAACAUCUGAUUUGAACUUUCCACCGCACGCAGGCCUAGGUCACCUUGUGACUUUUUAUGCGUUAAUAUUAUAUACCUUACUAGUACUUAACUACUGACUAAAAAAUGAGCCAGUUCACAAAAAAAACAUGGAAAGAUUCUGGAAGCUUUUCAGAUUUUUUUUGAAAUUUUUUUUCGAUAUAAAAAAAAAAUCCAGCGUAUUUUAAUACCUCUCAACAUUAUUGAAACUAUCAAAAAUCUGCAAGCCACGCAUUUGGAACAUUUUUACUGUUCUUUUUAAUUUCAAAUUCACAAAAAUAAAAAUUCAGAUGCUCAAUUUUUGUGAUAAAUUUUUUCAAGACAGUACGAAAAAAUGCCAAAAAAAAAAAGCAAGCUUUCUAACAUUUUCAGAAGUCUCGUUGAAAAAUUUUUAGUUUUUUUGAAGAAUUUCAAAAGGUUUCGCUACUCCGCAUGUAAGAAGAAAUUGAAUACCAUAAAACUUCUCAGAUCCAGAAAACAUGAUUUGAUUCCAUAAGUCAUAUUCCAUAAUAGACUAUUUGAAAUCGGAAUUCGAAAUGAACCUCAUCAAAAGAAGAGCGGAUCAAAAGAAGCGUUUCAAAAGACAAUUAAACAUGACCCCCUCCCCUGAAUCUUUGUGAUGAGAACUUAUCAUACACGCUUUCGGCAAUAAUCAAACCAUAUAAUAGCCGUAAAUCUUUUAUCGACGAUUUAUAGCGACGGUGAGAAAAAGGGAAAUAAUGGAUAGUGAUAAUGAUGAAAAAGAUGAUAAGAAAUUGAUGGGUUACAGUUUUGAGAUUUGAAUUUAGAAAUUUGAAAAAAUUGAAAAAAAAAACAUUUCUUUAUUAUGAAAACUAUAAUAAUUGUAAAAAACUAUUAGAAAAUCGUUUAAAUCGCUACUAAGAAGGUGAGCAAAAACUCUUGAAGAAUAAGAACAGCUUCUGUACUAUUCGGGGAGUGCACAUGGAUUAGGUAGCAGGAAAAAAGCGGAUUAGACCCAGUGGAUUAGGAGUCUUCAACCGAAGGGAACGAAUCAUUGGAAGAAGGGUAAGAACUUAAUGAGGGAGAGGGUUAACCUAGAGGGUUUCCUAUAGGGAGAUUAAUUUGGUCAAUAUUAAUGUUAUUAGGUUUCAACACGAAAUUCUGUAAAUUUUGUGAAUGGUUUUUAUUGAAACUCUACUGAACAAUUCAAAAUGGAAACCUCCUCAACAUGAUAUUUAGUUGGCUAUGAUUCAGGUUAAAACAUGUGCUCAAUUCUCUUAUUUUUGUUUUGCCUUCAAUGAUUCCAAUCAGGGAUGGGCGGCAAACGAUUUUAUUUCCGGCAAAUCGAGUAAUUGCCGGAUUUGAAAUUAACGGCAAAUCGGCAAUUGCCGAAAAUUUUGGGCAAAUUGUGGUUUUCCAAAUUUUUUUUUGGAAGCUUCAGAAUUUUAACUUUACUCGGCAUAAUUGUACGCAUCCUAUGAAUGUUCUUACAUCUAAUUUAAAAAGUAAGCGAAUUUUAUCAAACUAUCUUGAGAAAACGGAAAAAAAAUUCAAAAAGGCACUGCUUCAAGUGUUUCCGUCUUUUGAAAAAAUGCCUCUAAAAACUUCCGGCAAUUUGAUGUUCGGCAAACGGCAAAUCGGCAAUUUGCCGAAAAUAAAAAUUUUAGGCAAAUCGGCAAACCGGCAUUUGACGCGCAAAAUAUCUCGUAGCGAAAACUACAGUAAUUCUUUAAAUGACUACUGUGGUGCUUGUGUCAAUUUACGGACUCGAUUUUUGAAAUGGAUUAAAAUCGAUGUAAUACUAAAAUUAGGCAAAAAAAAGAAACUAAUAAAAAGGAAAAUGGAAUAUCGGUCUCACAAUUCGAAAAUAAAUUCAUUUCAAAAAUCCAGCCCGUAAAUCGAUACAAACGCUACAGUAGUCAUUUAAAGAAUUACUGUAUUUUUCGCUACGAGAUAUUUUGCGCGUCAAAUAUGAUGUGCAAUACGCAUUCUCAGAAUUUAAUGUUUCCGUAAUAUCUAUUAACUGUUUAAGUAUUAAUUCUAAAUAGCCAUAUUCAAGAAAAACUCAAAGAUGAAAUUUGAAAACACAGAAAAUAAAAAAUGGAAAACGUGUUUUAAAAUGUGCAAGCUUAAAUGGCGCCUUCUGCCAAAAUAAGACAUAAGCCUCAGACAAACAUUUUAAGUUUUGCUCCGUUUGCUCAGCGAUUUUUCAAAAUUUUUGAUCUCCAUAAUUAUUAAAUUGCUAAAAAAAUUUAGAUUUGUCGAUUGUCGAAAAUCCAGAAAUCCAGAUUUCUGGCUUCCCUCAUAAAUUGAAAUGGAAGAGUUUGCCGAACUAGGCCAUUUUGGCUCGGCCAUAUCUGGGGUAGAUUUAAGGCGCGUUGCGUGUCGCGUCGCGGAUCGAUUUUAGUUGUAAAACUAAAUUUAUUUGUCCAUGUGGAGUACACGACACUUUCUCACGCGUUGUCCGGCAGGCGAUUGUCAAUGGAGCGCAAAAAAUUCAAUGAGGAAGGCCAGAACCCCGUGGGUUUUCGAAAUUUGAAAAUAUCGGUAAUUGCCGAUUUACAAUCAAAGUUGCACAAAAAAAUCACCUUGAAUUUGAAAAAGCAUUUGAACAAGUUGAAAAGAGCACCACAUCCCAACUCUCUUGUCCUAAUUGCUUUGCCUCCCUGAGGCGGAUCCACAUCAAUGAUCCAUCAAUCACUAUUACACACAUAAAGACACUUGGAAGACAGAGAGGCGCCGAGAAUAUCGGCAACUUGUCAAAACAGACGACACUUUUAAAGAGGAUAAUGAUCGAGGGGGAGCACAGGAGCCCGUGGAGAAUGUCAUUUGGAUAAUGGGAUCAGUUGGAAUGGGAAUGGAGCAGCUUAUAUUGAAUAGUUUAAAACAAAAUGAUCAUGACAGUUAUUGAGAUAAAUGAGUCAUUUCUAAUCAUAUAUUCUGAAUGGUUCUGAAGCCGGGCUGUUGGAAAUUUCGAAAUUUGUGAACAGGGUCACUGCAACUUUUUCCUCACGAGGGACGAGGAAAAGUGGUUUCUAGGCCAUGACCGAGGGGCCGACAAGUUUCAGCGGCCAUUUAUCUUGCUUUGUUUUCCGCCUGUUUUCUUUCGUUUUUCACCGAAUUUUUUUGUUUUUUCUUAAUAAAACUGAUAAAUAAAUAUUUUUUGCAGAUGCUAAAACAAUUUCCAAGUAAAAAAAUUAUGUAUUCAGUGGGCAAGCAGCGGUGAAAGUGGUCAAUGUAAAAUGAUGGAUUACGGGAAUACAAAACCUAAACUUUUUCUGAAACAUAAUACAUAUGCUGCUUAAAUGCUGAGACUACCUGAUUUUCAUAACGAGACCGCUGAAAAAGUUUUGAGCUUUUCAAAAUUCAACUUUUUGUGCGAAAAUCUCGACUUUUUCACCAAAAAAGUUGAAUUUUGAAAACCUCAAAACUUUUUCAGCGGUCUCGUUAUGAAAAUCAGGUAGUCUCAGCAUUUAAGCAUCAUAUGUAUUAUGUUUCAGAAAAAGUUUAGGUUUUGUAUUUCCGUAAUCCAUCAUUUUACAUUGCCCACUUUCACCGCUGCUUGCCCACUGAAUACAUAAUUUUUUUACUUGAAAAUUGUUUUAGCAUCUGCAAAAAGUAUUUAUUUAUCAGUUUUAAUAAGAAAAAACGGGAAAAAGCUGUGAAAAACGAAAGAAAACAGGCGGAAAACAAAUCAAGAUAAAUGGCCGCUGAAACUUGUCGGCCCCUCGGCCAUGGCCUAGAAACCACUUUUCCUCGUCCCUCGUGAGGAAAAAGUUGCAGUGAGGGUGGAAUCAAUUUUCGCAAAAAAAAAACUAAUAAAAGGUUAAUUUUUCUAAAAAAAAACGAAAAUUUCAGUCCUUUUACCUUUAGGGGUGAGCGGUAAUUGCCGUUCGGUGUAGACAAACUCGGUAAAUCGGAAAAAUUGCAGGUUUGCCGAUAAUUUAGAAUUUUUGAUUUGUGGUCUGAAAUUUCCAACAAAAUGUUUGUUUACAGUAGUCAUUUUAAGAAUUUCUGUAGUUUUCGCUACGAGAUAUUUUGCGCGUCGAAUGCCGGUUUGCCGAUUUGCCCGAAAUUUUGAUUUUUGGCAUAUUGUCGAUUUGCCGUUUGCCGAACAUCAAUAUGCCGGAAAUGUUUUUAGAGGGAUUUUUUAAAAGAAGGAAACACUUGAAGCAGUGCUUUUUUCGAAUUUUUUCAGAUAUCUUAAUAAAAUUCGAUUAUUUUUCAAAAUAGAUGUAGGAGUGUUUAUAGAAUACGUACAAUUUUGCUGAUUAAAAUUAAAAUUUUGAAAUUUCCAAAAAAAAAUGUGCAAAACCACAAUUUGCCGAAAAUUCUUUUUCCCUAAAUCAUUUAAAUAUUAAUUUUUAUUUAAAAAAAAUAAUAUUUUUGGCCAAAAAAUGUUAUAUAAAAAAUUAUGUUUUUUAAAUUUUCAACCUAGUUUGUUCUAGAAUUGUUCCACCUGAAAACCCUGAAAAUUGCAAUUUUCAAUCCAGUUUUUAUGUUUCAAUUUUAUUCUCUGCGAAAAAUUGAAAAAGGACAAAAAACGAAUGAAUUUGAUAAAGAAAUCAUCAAAAAAAAAUCGGGACAGUAAAAUAAUGAGAAAAAGGAAAAAAGAAUAAAAGAAAUCUUAUUAAAGAGAGAGAGCGAAAGAAAGAGCAGUUGAAAAAAAAAGUUCAAAUAAAAAUGCCGAAAUUUGUUAGGUGAGGGGGGGGGAGGGGGUCAACGGGGGGUAAUUUUCCAUGGGAAAUUCGCCCGUACUACUCGAAGUAGGACAAAAGAAAAGAAAAAUCAAAAGAGAAAAAGUAUUGGAGAUGAGGAGUGGGGGAGACAAUGAAAGCUGAAAAUACUGGAAAUAAAGAGAAUUUUAUCAAAAAAUGAAGAAAAAAUUUUUUAAAAAUUAUGCCUAUUUUCCGAUUCAAAUUAUGUAUUUUUCUGUUAUGCGGGGGAGGGAUAAAGACGAAGUAUAUUAUGUGCUCCGACACCGGAAAAAGAGCACAUAUUAAAGUAUUAAGAUUGUGUGUGUGUGUGUGUGAUGAUAACAAUAAAAAUGUGAAGGGGCUAAGAGACAAAACCUGAAAACGCACAAAAAAAUGACGACAUUUUUGCAAAAAAAAAGGUUUUGAAAGUGGUGGAAGGGGGGUAGAGAGAAUUCGAAUAUUAAUGAGUUUUCUGAAAAAGAAAUGAGCACUUCAAAAAUAAAUCUAUAGAUUGUUCGUCUCCUUGAUAUUUCCACGAGACGUGGAUCGUGCUGAAAAUUUUCGAAAAAUUAUUAUUAUUAGAGAUUUUUCAUAAGCUCAGAAUUUGGCUUUUUUUUGAAAAUUUUUUAUUUCUAUUUUUUUUCCUUAACUCAUCAAUUUAAAAAAAAUUUAAUUUGUUUUUUCACUUAAAUUUUUUUUUGUUGAUUUUGCGAAUUUCCUAAAUACUUAGAAAAAAUUUUUAUUUGAAAUAAUUUUAAUUUUUUUGAAAAAUUUAAUUUUUUCAAUUUGGCAAUUUUUUUCAAAUUUUCCUGAAUUUUUCAAAUUUGUGGAUAAAUUUUAAAAAUGUUUUUCCAAAUUUUUGAGGAAGUUGCUAAAAUAUCGAUUUUUUAAAAAUUGAUUGAUAAAAUUUUUUCUGUGGGUAUUUUUUAAAGCCUGUGUUUUAUCCAUUUUUUCACCUGCGAAUUUCAAAAAAAAUUUUAAAAACCAAUUUUUUUUGAUUUCUCAAAUUUCUCUAUUUUUUCCUAAUUUUUAUCUCAAUUUCACAAAAAAAAUUCUAAAUUUUCAACUUUUUUCUUUCAAUUUUUGAAUAUUUCAAUCACUUUUUUUCUACAGUUUCUGGAUGUUUUUUGAAUAAAAUCCGGGAUUUUCUUUCUCAAAAAUCUGAAAUUAAAUUUAAAAUAUUUUUAAUAACUCUAUAGCUUCUCGUCUUUCUUUUUGAACGGUUUUUUUUUAAUUUUUUCGAUUUUCUUUCAAUUUGGCAAUUUUGUUUUACUUUUUUCGAAUAAAUUUUCACAUUAAAAAAUUUACACAAGUUUUUAAAUUUUGUGGAUAAACUUUUUUUUUAAUUCUCCAAUGGUUUUCCAAAUUUUUGAUUAUCGAUUUUUUUUUAAUUUUAAAUUUUUUUUUGUUGGUUAUUUGAAAAGUCCGUUUUUUUAAAACAAUUUUCUUCACCUACGAAUUUAAAAUUUCAAAAAAAAAACCUUUUUUUCGAUUUUUCGGAAAAUUUCAUGAUUUUUCUAAUUUCUCUAUUUAUCAUAAUUUUUAUCUCAAUUUCGAAAAUUUUUUUCAUUCAAUUUUUGAAUUUUUAAAUAACAUUUUAUCUACAAUUUCUGGAAUUUUUAAUUCAAUUUGUAGAAUUUUUUUGAAUAAUUUCCGGGAUUUUUUCACUUAAACAAGUUUAAUUUAUCUUUUUUUUGAAUAAAAAAAUAUUUUUGAAUCAUUAAAAUUUUUCAAUUUGGCGAUUUUUGUAUUUCUUAAAGUUUUUCGGAAUUUCCACAAUUUUUUCGGAAAUAUUCAGUUUCAAUAAAAAAUCCAAACUCACAGCGAUUUUCCGAGUCGACUUGAAGUCGUAAUUGCCGACUAAUCUCACGAAGUCGGGCGGCCGAUUGUCCAGUCAAACUAGGCUCACGACGAUCGAGUCCGGCUUGGAAGGCCUUCACGACGCGAAUCUGAAAAUGGAUUCGGGUUUUAGUCUUAGUUGGAAGGCCAUAUCGAAAAAAUAUUAAAUGUUGUGAUAGACAGAGUGAGCAGAACACCAAUUAGAACAGAAAACUGAGAGCAGCAAGAUCAUCAGCGAUAUAUAUACAAGUGUUUAUGUGUGUCACUGCAACUUUUUCCUCACGAGGGACGAGGAAAAGUGGUUUCUAGGCCAUGACCGAGGGGCAGACAAGUUUCAGCGGCCAUUUAUCUUGCUUUGUUUUCCGCCUGUUUUCUUUCGUUUUUCAUCGAUUUUUUUCGUUUUUUCUUAAUAAAACUGAUAAAUAAAUAUUUUUUGCAGAUGCUAAAACAAUUUCCAAGUAAAAAAAUCAUGUAUUCAGUGGGCAAGCAGCGGUGAAAGUGGGCAUUGUAAUAUGAUGGAUUACGGGAAUACAAAACCUAAACUUUUUCUGAAAGAUUUUGGCACAAAAAGUUGAAUUUUGAAAACCUCAAAACUUUUUCAGCGGUCUCGUUAUGAAAAUCAGGUAAUUUCAGCAUCUAAGCAGCAUAUGUAUCAUGUUUCAGAAAAAGUUUAGGUUUUGUAUUCCCGUAAUCCAUCAUAUUACAAUGCCCACUUUCACCGCUGCUUGCCCACUGAAUACAUAAUUUUUUUACUUGGAAAUUGUUUUAGCGUCUGCAAAAAAUAUUUACUUAUCAGUUUUAAUAAGAAAAAACGUGAAAAGCUGUGAAAAACAAAAGAAAACAGGCGGAAAACAAAGCAAGAUAAAUGGCCGCUGAAACUUGUCGGCCCCUCGGCCAUGGCCUAGAAACCACUUUUCCUCGUCCCUCGUGAGGAAAAAGUUGCAGUGUGUUUAUGUGUGUGUAGGUCACAGGCCGUGGGUGGCUAUUUUUUUUUGUUGGAAAUUUUUAUUUAUUUAGGGAUGUUAUGUUUAACCAAUAUAUCUCAUUUAGAAAUUGGGGUCAAAAUUAAAAAAAAAACAAUUUAAUAGAUCUAAAAAUAGCUUGGUUGUUUAAAGGAGGACUAACGGUUCGGGCGAGGCACCACGGUUUCAAGAUCUGGCGGGAUUCUGGAUCUACCAUUUCCGGAGAUCUGGCACCGUGCCAACUCUUAAAACGCUAUUUUUCUAGGAGAAAAACGUGACAACGAUGAUGCUCCGUUGUUACGCGUCGCGUGUUGUUAAGCGUUUCUUUUAGAAGAAAUUUUCAAAAAAAAACAACGUGCGUCGUGUGAAUAAAAAAGCGUUUUGUGCGUUGGCACAGUGCCACCAGAUCCGGAAAACGUAAAUCCGGAAUUUCACCAGAUCUUGAAAACGUGGUGCGUCACGAAUUUCGUAAUGAAACUUCUCAAAAAUGUUUCAAAUUAUUUUUAUAGUUCCAAAAAAUUACGCUAAUGUUAGCUAAACUCUCGAAUUUUCCCCCUUUUUCCGUGUCGCAUCUGUCCGAAAUUGAUUUUUUUUGUAAAUUAUUAUCUUUUAUUGUAUAUUUUGGUAGUUUAUCUCAUUUUAUUUCAUUGUGAUGUACAUUUAAAGCCGAUAGGUAACCAAUUUCCAUGAUUUUUGGUUACACCUAUCGGCUUUAAGCAUACUUUAAUAAACGAAAUUGAAUGAGAUAAACUAUCAAAAUAUGGAAUAAAAUAAUGAUAAUUCAAAAAAAAAAAAAAGUCAACUCCGGGCAGAUGUGUGACACGGAAGAGUGGCCAAAAUUCGAGAUUUUAGCUAAAAUUAGCGUAGUUUUAUGGAAAUUUUGAACCACCAUAAAAAUUUUUUUGAAAAGUUAUUUAAGAAGUUUCAUUGCAAAAUGCGUUCAUGUGAGCACAUUUCGUGUCUAUACGUUCAAAAUCGUCAUCACCUAUCACUUAUGAGUAUUUUAUUGUUUCAAACUGUAAUACCCAGAUAUAUUAUUUAGAAAGUAAUAAGAAAGUACGAAAUAAUUCCAAAAAGCACGGGAAAAUUAGACUGAAAACGCUUAAAAACCCACUGGACUUUUUGGAAAUAUUUCGUUCUUUUUUAUUAUUAUACAUCAUUCUAUAUAAUAUGACUGAUUAUGACUACAGUUGUAAGAAAGUAAUUUCACAAGUGAUAGGCCACCACAAUCAAAGUUAUAGCUAUUUUCAGAUCGACUAAAUAUGUAUAUAUUGAGACACUAAUUUCUUGUAAAUGAGAGAAAUAAUGGUCAAUCAAAUCAAGCCAAAAUGGGUUGAAUUGCCAAAAAAAAAAAAUAGCUGCCCACCACUGAUUUGUGUACUAACUACCGAUUGAUAAUAUUAUUAUUAUUCUAAUUAUUCUAAUAAUGAAAAUUCAAAAUAUUAUUGAAAAUUGUUUCGUUUAGUUUAAACUACCGGGACGUGGACAUUUUCUGUCUACAAUUUACUGUAUUAAAUUGAAAUUUCUAAAAACUUCUUAUUAGUUCCUCCAAAAGGUGCCAAUUUCGGCAAUGUUUUCAUUUCGAAACGGUUCCUUCGCUUUUUGUCGACAAUGUACCGAAUUUGUACUUUAAUCCACAAAACUAUAUCAGAAAUGUGCGAAAAAGCCAAGUAACUCAGUGAAAAUUGAUUUCCAACCGUUUCAAAGUGAAAAAUUCGCCUUUUUCAAGGAAUUCUGUCUUGUGGGGCCCGUUUUUCACAAAAAUUUUAUGAUUUUGAAUCGAAAAUCAACACAAUUUGUGUGAAUUUUCCGCCGCCGCUAGGAACCUAUUAGUUGUUUUUUGUUAGAAAGAGAGAGAAGGGGGAAGAGUCAUCACACAGAAAACUCGAGAAGUACACACUAUUAUAAAAACUCUUGUGAUUUGGUAUAGGGUGAUAACUACUGAAUUCGUCAACUGAAAAUAAUUUAGAUAAAACCAAAAAAGGGUGAUUGUGUUAUUUUUCAGAAAAAAAAAAAGAAAUUUUCAACUAAUAUACUGAUUCUUCUACGGGGUGUUCAGUGGGGAGGGUCUCUAAGAUUUUUAUUCAUAUAUAUUUAAAAUUAAUCUAGAAUAUUUUUUUCAAAAAUUUUAAUUUAAAAAAAAACUAUAAUAAUGUUCUUAUUGCAUUGCGGGUUCCACAGAAAUAUUUUUUUGCAGAUAAGCCGACGCAGCUCGUGUAACCUGCGAGGAGAAGAGAAUUUGAAUUUUUUGAGCUAAAUUUUUUGAUGUUGGACUUUUUUAUGUUUGAAUUUAACAAUAGAAACACCAAUUAGUAUCUCUUUUUGUAGGACUUUUUUUAAUGAAAAUAUAUAUGAAAUAUAUAACAGCAACAAGAAAAUUAGCUAAAAUGGUCCAAAGUCAAGCAUUUUAGCGGAAAAAAAACUGUAAGCUUCUACUCUCCUCGCAAAAUUAACGAAAUUUUAGAGUUUUUCAGUGCUGAAUUUAUAAAUGUUUCAAAAACAUAUUUUGAAAAUUCAAAAAACUGCCAAAAUAAAAAAAGCCUAUGGAAUAUCUCGAAAAUAUAUUUCUGUGGAAAACACAAUACGAUUAUGGGAUAAUUCACGCAAUGUCGAUAAAUGAUGCACGUGGUGGUGUCAGAAUGUCUUAUUUCGGCUUGAUCUACGUAGAUCUACAAAAAAUGCGGGAGAAGAGACACGCAGAGUUCUCUCAGCUGAUUUCGCAUGGUUAAGAACGUGCUGACGUCACAUUUUUAAGUGCAAAACAUUCCCGCAUUUUUUGUAGAUCAAACCGUAAUGGGACAGCCGCCUGGCACCACGUGCUAAUGUGAAGUUUCAAAAUGUCUUUCAAUACAUUUUGUGACAUUGCACGAAUAACUCCAUUAAAGGUGGAGUACCGAAAUCUGUGAGUUUGCUUUUUUAGACCCAAAAUGGUCCAAAACUACCAAAUUUCGUAAUGAGACGUUCUGAAAAUUUCUCAAAAAAAAGUUAUGGCCGCUCAAAGUUUUGGAAAAAAUGGCCCAUUUUUAGCUAAAAUCUCAAAUUUUGGUAUUAUUUGAUUGCCAUCUUUUAAUGCAUGUUUUGGCAUUUUAUUACGUGUUAUUUCGUUGAUUGAGAUGCUUUUUCCGUCGAUGGGUGCACAAAUAUGACACAAUUUUGUGCACCCAUCGACCGAAAAAGCAUCUCUAUCAACGAAAUAACACGUAAUAAAAUGCCAAAGCAUGCAUUAAAAGAUGGCAAUCAAAUAAUACCAAAAUUUGAGAUUUGAGCUAAAAAAGCACACUUUUUUCCAAAACUUUGAGCGGCCAUAACUUUUUUUGAAACAUUUUCAGAACGUCUCAUUAUGAAAUUCGGUGUUUUCAGACAAUUUUGAGUCCAAUAGAGCCACGAAAAAAAUUCGACUACACCACCUUUAAGUAACAAAAAAACAUGCCAAAUAAAUUGAUUCAUAUCUCUUAAAAUCUCUUUUAAAAAACUAUUAAAUUUGAAUACUAACUAGUAAGUCGUUCUUAUUUGUUUUUUUGUUUUUCGACUAUUCGAUUUAAUCACAAAAGCUUGCAUACAACGACGACUAGUUUUUCACAAAAACUCGACACAACACGACAUCUACGGGGGCGGGAGGUGAUUCGUCAUUCUCCAUCAUCCAGAAAAUCAAUUAAAAAAAAAAACAACAACAUCAACGUCAUUCUCUGAUUACGUAUGUCAGUCGAAGAAGAAAAUUUCAAUCAAUCAAUAUUGAGUAAAAACCGUUAAUCAGGGGAAAUAAGUAAAUGAGUAUGCGGGGGUGUAUAUCUUAUAGAGGGGGAUGUGGGGGGGGGGGGAGUCUUACUGCUUGAUCAGUCGGUGCACUGCUCAACGGCACCGGGAUCAGAUGAUCCGAGCGCUCUCCGCCAAUAACCUGUAAACUUUUUUGAGAUGUGUUGCAGAAUAUGCAUCAUCUCAGCGUUUUCACACCAUCAUUUCUCAGACCGACGGGAUUUUUUGUUGGAUCUAUAUAUUAGACACAAUUUUCGCACUGUUCGUGCAGGUUGAAGAGAGAGAGAGAGAGAGAGAUAUGAUAGGAAAAGAUGCUGGAAAUAUAGGAAACUGUGUGGUUUUUGUGGUGUGUGUAUAAGCAUGCGUCUAUAUUUCAGAUUUCAUUAUGAUGUAGUAUGUCAAAUUUAAACUUUCAUACAAGAGGAAUACAAUUUAUUUUGUUGCUUCAAUAUGUCUAAAAUUACCCAAAAACAUUUAAUUUCGAUAUUAAAAAACCUUUCAAAUAUUACGGGAACACAAACUUCUGAGAAUGCGUACGUAGAGCAUUUUAUUUGACGCGCGCGAUAUCUCUCAGCAAAGACUAAGAGUAAGAACUCAAAUAACUAUUGCUAUCUAAGUUCUUACUGUAGUUUUCGCUAAGAGAUAUCGCGCGUCAAAUAAAAUGCUCGACGUACGCAUUCUCAUGAUUUAUUGUUCUCGUAAUAUUACGGGAACACAAACUUCUGAGAAUGCGUAUUGCACAACAUAUUUGACGCGCAAAAUGUCUCGUAGCGAAAACUACAGUAAUUGUUCAAAUGACGAUUGUAGAGCUUGUGUCGAUUUACGGGCUCGAUAGCGAUUUUUUAUUCUUCUUCUUUUCUUCGUAUUAUUUUCUCAUUUUUUGCUAAAUUUUAAUAUUAAAAUAUUAAAUUGAGGAAAAAAUUAUUUGAAUUAAUUUUUAAAAAGUCGAUCCCGUAAAUCGACACAAACGCCUGUCAGUAGCCAUUCAAAGAAUUACUGUAGUUUUCGCUACGAGAUAUUUUGCGCAUUAUCAGAAUUUCGUUUUAUUACACAAUUGCGAAAUUUUCGAAAAUUUUGCUCAAAAAUACGGACCCCACUCUUGCCACAAGCAGUAUUAUUUCCAAUUCAAGGCUGCACAUAUGCGCCUUUGAGAACUACAGUAACCCAAAAAGUGUAUUUAGGUUACUGUAGUUUUUAAAAGCGCAGUAUUCAGUGAGGACUCACAUUAAAAUUUUUACUGUUCGUGGCAAGACCGCGCGUACCGUAUUUUUGCACUAAAAUAGCAAAAUUUUCGCAAAUGUGUAAUAAAUCAACAAAAAUUUCGGAAAAUAAAACUUUCGAUCGCUUCGAUACGGAAAAAAGUACAAAAUUGUAAAAUUAGAAUUUUUUUCAAAAUUUUGAAUUGUCGAAAUAAUUUUUAUUUAUUAAUUAUUAUUAAUUUCCCCUCCUGUAAAUCGAUGCAUACAAAAGUCAUUAGUUUUUUAUUUCAAAAAUCAUCAAAUACAUUUUAAAAGUCUAAAAAAGUGGUGGUUGACAAAAAAAAAAGAAAAAUAUAGCCGAAAAAACAUACUAAAAAGUCCGUUGUUAAAAAAGAGAAAACUGAAAAAAAAAAACAAAGGAAACAUGGGGCAAAAGAGCAAGAUUUUAGGCGUUUUUUAAUGAAUAAUCGAAACAAAAUUUGAAGAGCAUAAAAAUAACCAUAGAAAUCUGAAAAAAGUGUCUAAAAAGUUAGGUCAAAUUAUUUUUAAAAAUUUUUUUGAGGAGACACACACUUUUCAAAGAGUGGGCGGCUACCGUAACCAUUCCUUGUCAUAUUGGAAAGUGAUUCUUGGAAAUUGCACAAAGUAUUAAUUGAUUUUUCUUGAAAACUAGAGUGUUUUGCAACGGCAUGGGGAAAGGGGGGGACAAUCUACCAGUAAAACAAAAUGUAAAAUUAAAUAAAAUUGAAAAUGUCAUGAAAGAUUGGGUGAAAAUAAUCUGGUCUAGAGAUGAUGAUAGCUAAGUACUUUGAAAUAAUGAGUUCAAAUAUAUAUCUUGAAAAAAAGACGGUGUACACGAUAAUUACUACUGUAACUGAAAAGACGGGGAUUGGGUGAGGAAUUGAAAAAAAAGAUUUUAAAAAAUCUCUAUUUCAAAAAGAAUUACACGUGAGCAACAGAAACUGGAGUAUCAAGAGACAUGCUCUUGUUGAUGCUUCGCUGUGUUUGAGUAUACGAAGAAUUUGUGUCCGGAGACCAUUGCUGCACCAGCGGUACUUUUUCGGUUUUUCCAUUCGUUUCGGCUUUUGGUGCUGCUGCCGCCGCCGUCGCUGCUUGUCCAUUAUUCCCCGAUGAUGUUCCAUUCUCCACCACAAUAUGUGGUUGUGGAGACGGAGUCCGUGGCUGCUGGUGAUGAUAGUAUGGGUACGGCUGUGGCGAUUGCCUGUGCGUGAUUGCAGCCAUCGCAAUACGUUGUCCGGCUGGUUCUGGUGAAGCGGCUGUCGUUGUGUGCCGUCCACCGCCGCUCCAGAAUCCUCCACGCAUUGAUUGAACCGAGUGUGUGGAGGCGAUCGAUCGUCGCUCAUCGAAUUCUUCUAAUGAUGAUCGGAAUGCUUUGACGACUCGUAACUGAAAAUUAAUGGCACAUUAGAACAAUUAUAAAAGGGGCGCUUUGUCAUUUGAAAAAAACGAAAUUUCUGAAUGGUCAAGAGAAUUGUGGGACAAAUUAUACAUUUCUUGAAGUAGAAAUAUUCCGAAUUAGGAAUGAAAUUAUUCCCAAUUUGAUGUUUUAACAUAAUUUUUUGACUUCAAAUGCCUGAUUUUGCAAGUUAAUGUUGUCUUCGAAACUAUAGCUUUGUGAAAAUGAGAGUUUUUUUUUUUUUAAUUUUUGUCUUCACAACUUCACUUCAAAACUCAUUUCCACAUAGCGCAAAUGAUUUUUUCCGGCAAAACGACAAACUGCCGGAAUUGAAAUUUCCGGCAGAUCGGCAAACCGGCAAUUUGACAAACAGUGCCCCUGAAGUAGUAGGUCAAAAUUUGAAGUCAAUUAUAAUUUCUUAACAUUUUGUUAUUAACAUUGAGCAAGCCUUCAGAAAAUAUAUAUUUUUCGUCGUAUAAAAUUCUCUUGACACAUUUUGUUGAAAAAUCGAAAUUCGUGACAAAACCCAAUUACAUAUAAUUUCGUAGGUAAAAACGAUGAAAACAAUGGAAAAAUGAACGAGAAAAAAAAAGAAAAAAAAAAGAAAAAAAGAAGAAUGUGUGAACCCUCUUCCUCCUCCUCCUCUCAUCAAAAAUUCCUCCGUAAAGAGGACUUAGAAGUUUCUAUACCCUCCGAAAAAAAAACACAAUUUUCAGCGAAAAAUGAGCAACACACUCCGAGAGAGAGAGAGAGAGACGAGCAGCGAGAAGAAAACCAGUGUUAGUAUUAUUAUUAUGAUUUUGUUUUAAAAAUUAUUGUUUGAUUAAUGGUGGUAGUAUGUGGUUGUGGGGAGGUAAAUGACAGCCAAAAAUUGGGGUUUGUAGGGUUCUUUUGUGAGUAAAAAGCAACAAAAUUUGAAAUCCCAGGUUAAAAUAAACGAUUUUGAGUGUGAGUAGUUUUUUGUGUGGCUUUUUUUUAUUUAAAAGAGGAAUAACUGAUCUAAAUUUGUACUUUGUUAUAUUUACUCAAAAAGACCCAAAGAUACCGAUUUUCAUAAUGAGACUUUUCAAAAAUUCCAAAAAAGUCACUUUUAGCUAAAAAUUUUCCAAUUUUGCCCCCGCUUUUCAAUGAAUGUAACACAGUGGCUGGAAUUUGUAUUUUAUAUGAUUAUUGACUAUUUUGCAUAUUUCAUCGAUUAUAUGAUUUGCACUUUUCCUUGGUGGUCAGGUGCAAUUUCAGUCAAUACAAACCAAAUUUGGAUGCCUAUGAACUGAAAUAUUACCUAAAUCUCAACGAAAUAGCGUAAGAUAAACGACCAAAAUAUGCAAAGAAGGGGGCAAUAAUCGAAUAAAAAUCAACUUCCGGCAACAGUGGCACUGAAAAGCGGGCAAAAUGGAAGAUUUUUUUUAAGCUAAAAUUGGAUUUUUGGCCAGCCUCAUUAUAAAUUGUGUCCGUUGAGGCCAAAAUUAAAAAAAAAACACAAAUACUACUUCGCUCUUUAAAGGUGGAGUACCGAAAUCCGAGACUUUGCUUUUUUAGACCCAAAAUGGUCCAAAACUGCCUAAUUUCGUAAUGAGACAUCUUGAAAAUUUCUCAAAAAAGAGUUAUGUCGGUUUAAAGUUCUGGAAAAAAGGCUCAUCUUGUGCUAAAAUAAGAAUUUUUGCCAUCUUCUCGCUGUCGCAGCGUCUAGAACUUAAUUUUUAUUUAUACUUAUUAAAGAGUGAUAAUUAAAUAAAAAUUAAGUUCUAGACGACGCUGCGACACCGAGAAGAUGGCAAAAAUUCUUAUUUUAGCAGAAGAUGAGCCUUUUUUCCAGAACUUUAAACCGACAUAACUCUUUUUUGAGAAAUUUUCAAUGAUGUCUCAUUACGAAAUUAGGCAGUUUUGGGCCAUUUUGGGUCUAAAAAAGCAAAGUCUCGGAUUUCGGUACUCCACUUUUGAAAAAAACCCUGCACAUUUCCAAUGUUAGUUGGUUUUCAAGUCAGCCGAAGAUUGCCGAGCACGAUCCGUCGAUUUGGCGAAAAAGGUUAAUAGUAUAAUAAGUGCAUGCUAAACGAAAUUAAAUCAAAUUAUCAUCAUCAUCAUCAUCAUCAUCCGAAGAAAUGAAAUAAAAAAGAGUGGUGCAUCUCAAUCCAAUUCGUGUGGCCCUAAAAAUUCCCAAAAAAAAAAACUCCCAAAGCAUGUUUAAUCCUAUAAAAGCACUUUCAGAAUUAAGCCUGGGGGUAAACAUCGGGUGUUGCUCAUUUUGCUCAAAAAAUUCAAAAAAAAACCAAAUUUCCAAACAAUUGAGGGAGAAGGAGGAUGAAGGAGGUAAAAUGACACACGGGAGGAUUCGCGUUUGUUUUUUUUUAAAUUAAAUCUAAUUAAAUCUAAUUUUUCAAAAUUCCCAAUUCAAUUUUUUAAAAUAAAGUUCUGUGUCCGCUUUCAACAACAACAACAAUCAUUGCAAAAUAGGGGAAAAAAUUGUCUCUUUUUCAAGAAAAAAGGAGCAAAAAUGACGCACACGCACACGAGAAAAAAAACCAAACAAUAGGGAGAAAAUAUGCUGCUCUCGAAGUAUAAAUAUAUAUAUAUAUAGUUUUACCUGUACAACAACUUUGCUGAAAAAGUGAGGUGAUAGAGGAGUUCCACAGCCAAUUUUCAUAUAUAUAUAUAGAGGUUCAUGUACGGAGGUGGAAGAGGAGAAGGAAGACACACACACUACACAACAUUGGGUUUUUUUUUUUUUUUUUUGGUUUUUUUGUGUGUGUUGCAGAAAUUAUAUUCUACUUGUGUAUGUUUGUGUGUGUGUGUGUGUUAUUUUUUCUGAUAAUUCAGACCACAUUUUUCUAUUUUCUAAAAUAAAAUAAAAUAAAAAAGGUAUGCGUAUAUAGGGGUAAACCAAGUAAUAGAUAAGGGCUAAUAAUAGAACUUCUGGUAAUGGCAACUUGUCGAUUUACGAAGCUCGUGUACUACUCCUCGAGGAUAAGAGGAUUUUUUCGUUUACUUUAGCCUUGAUUUUGGGCAACUUUACAAGCUUGAAAACGGACUGAAUUUUUCACAUUUUUGUUUUAAACGUUAAUUUUACAGAUGUUUUUCUAAUGCUUUUGAUGUUGUUGUCAGACUUUCGGUUUUUCUUUUGCAAAACUAAAAAAAAUGAUUAAAUUUUCCAAAUUUUCAGUUUCUUUUUUUGUGAUAUACCAAUCAUAAGUAUUUUAAAAUGGACAUAAUAUCUUUAAAAAAUAGAGGAACAUCCAAAAAUUAUUAAAAAAUGAACAUUUUUCUCGAAAAACCAAAAAGAAACUUCGUUUUUUUUUUUACGAAAUUCAAAAAAAAUUCACUUUUUUUUUUGUUGCAAUUACGGUCAAAAACUUCAAAGGGAAUUCUCCUCGUGGAGUACACAGCCUGCGUAAAUCUACACAUGGCAGUGUUAGAGGUUUUCUACGGCCAUUCUUCCACUUUUUUUGAUAGCUUGAAGCUCGUCUCAUCCGUUGCCAUUAGCCGGAAAUUCCAUUUUAUAUAGAUUUUUUGACGGAAUUUUUCCCAACAUAUAUAUAUAAUAUUUUUUUAUAAAUAAUUACAUAACUGUUCAUGCCAAUAUAUAUUCUUAUAAAUUGUGUGAAGUAGAAACCACACACACACCACAAAACACACACUUUUCCAGAGUUCAUUUCCAUAAAUAUACAUAUUUCUUUCUAUUUUCCUCAUAUCUUUCUCCCGCCUCUCGCUGGUGACGCCUUUUGCUCUAAGAGGGUGUUGCUCAUAUAUUCGAAUUGGAAAAAAUUAAAAAAUUUUGAGAAAAAAAAAUUUUUCAGGGUUUUUUUUUGGAGAAAAGGAAGAAGAAAAGAGGCUUCAUUCUUCUUUUUUUUUUCUUUUUUUUUCUUUUUUUUUUCUGUCAUUUUUUCCAUUGUCCCAUUAUUUAUAUUUUUAAUUGAAAAAAAAUAAACUGAAAGCUGAGAGAAUUGAGAAGAGAGAAGCAACUGAAUAGAAAUUAAAAGGAAAAAUUAUAAUUAAAAAUUUUUUUUUUUCGAUUUUUCGCUUAAAAGUAUGUCUGAAAUUCCCGGUCUGAAGAAGAUUUUCUCUGAAUUUUUUAAAAGAAAGUUGUCCUGAAACUAACCUGAGUCUGCAGACGAGUCAAUCCACGGACCCAAAGAAUUUGUCCGGAUCUCUUUUCGUGAGUAUCGGAAUCCUCAUAAUCUGGCAUUAAUGGAUCAUUUGUUGGAGCUUCACCGGAUCCGAUGGUCAUGUUGGCUGGAAGGGAUCCUGUUGGAAUGCUCGUGACGAUCUGGAAUUUUAGAAUAAUUUUUUGAGAUUCGUUAUUUAUACUAGGAAUGGCGGCUAAAAAUCGAUUUUUUUAAUAAAAUAAAGCUUAUUCUUAAAAGUUAUCAAAAAAAAACGCAAUUUUCAAAAAAUUGAUUAUUUUAGCUGAAAAAUUCAUCUAAGAUUUUUUUUUUUGAAAAAAAAAACGAUUUUUUUAUAUUUUAAAUUAAUAUGUUUGGUAAUGGUUAAAAUGUUCACUUUUUGAUUUUUUCUGAAACACCAAAAAAUUUUUUUAAAAAUCGAAAUAAAAAAUAAGUUUUUUACACAUUUGCAUAAAAAAUUUUCUAAAAUCGUUUAUUUCGGUUUUCAAAAUUUUGUUUGUGAAUAUCGUAUAAAUUUUUUUCUAAUUUUUUGAAAAAAUUUUUUGGCGCGUUUUAGAAAAAACGAAAAAUAUUAAUUUUAAUGAUAAAAAUUAUCGUCUUUUUGCAGAAAAAAAAAUCGAAAAUGAAAAAUUGAAUACUUUAUAGAUUUUGUGGUAUUUUCCCAAUUUUUCGGCAUUUCUCCAAUUUUUUUGAGAAAUAUUUUUUAAAACCUGUAAAUUCCAAAAAAAAUUCGAUUUCAGCUGAAAAACUCAGAGAAAUCGGAAAACAAUAGAAUAUGUUUUCAGAAAAAAUUCUGAAAAAUCGAAUUUUUUGGAUUUUCUCGGGAAAAAAAAACCAAAAAAUCUGGAAAAAAAUUCAUUGAAUAAAAAAUGAAUUAAUACGCAGAAAAUCGACUUUUUAAAGCUUUUUUAUAUGGUAAAAAAAACACUGAAAAACUCUUAAGCCCCCACCUGUCCCCAAAGAAGUGUUCCAACUCCGAAAGCCAGACACCAAAGCCAUUCUGUGGUGUUCAACGCUGAAGUACUGAACCAGCGACCUCCGAAUUGAAUAAUAACGACUUGAGAGAUCAUAGUGGCAAUCCAGAUAACAUAAUAGAUCGGAUUCGAGAACAAUCCCUUGAAAAUGUUACGUUCUCCGUGAAUCUUACGAGCGUUGAUCUCAUUGAAGAGGGUCAUCAUGACGAAUGUAUUAAAUACAAUAGUGAAAUGUUUCGAUGGUGGAGAGUGGAGUGGAGCCCAUCGCCCAGAUGGAAUAUUAAAGCACACUUCUCCGUAGAAGAUCAGCGUGAAAAGAAUGACGAGUUGAUAUACAGCAUGUCCGAGGAUAUUCUUGCACAUUGUUCUCGAGAUGAGUGGAGAAGUACGUCCAUAUGGUUUUCUUUUGAGCAACUCUUCAGUUGGCAUUUCAGUGGCCAGCGCCAACGAGGCAAGCGUGUCCAUUAUAAGAUUAACCCAAAGCAUCUGAACAGCCUUGAGUGGAGUAUCUUGAAUAGCGCAGGCACCGACGAACGCAACUACGACGGCGACAACGUUGACGGUCAGUUGGAAUUGCAAGAAUUUAGCGAUCGAAUCGUAGACAUUACGUCCCCACAUCACUGCCUUAACAAUUGAAGUGAAGUUAUCGUCAGUCAGAAUAAUAUCAGAAGCCUCUUUGGCGACAUCAGUUCCAGCAAUUCCCAUAGCAAAUCCGACAUCAGCCUUCUUGAGAGCAGGUCCAUCAUUAGUUCCGUCUCCAGUUACAGCGACGACUUCUCUUGAAUCAGUGACACGAGAAUCAAUGAUUCCCUUAACCAGAACAUAUUUGUCAGAUGGCUGAGCACGAGCCAAGACACGAAGCUUUGGCCAGAUCAAGUCGAGCUUCUCCUGUGAGACUUCUCCAUUUUCAUCACGAAUUCUGGCGUUGAAUUCUUUGCCCUCCAAUGCGAUAAAGUCCUCUCCGGGUUUCAAGAUUCCGCAGGCGGUGGCGAUGGAUCUGGCGGUAUUGAUGUUAUCUCCGGUAACCAUUCGAACUGUAAUUCCGGCUUCCUGGCAACGAGUGAUGGCGGCUGGAACUUCUGGACGAACUGGAUCCUGGAUUCCCAAGACAGCGAUGGCGGUCAUGUCUCCAACAAUCAUUUCUUCAUUCUCCCAAUCUGGCUCCGAUGAAUAGGCGAUUUGAUUGUCAGCAGUCUUCUUGGACGAUGGCACAUAAUCCUUGUAAGCCACACAAAUCGUACGAAGUCCAUCAGAAGCCAUUGGCUCAAUCACAUCACGAACUAGAUUUUCAGCGUCUUUCGAGCUGAACUUGGUGAGAGUGCCAUUCUUUCCGAGGAAAUACUUGCAUCGUUUGGUGACAAUUUCCGAUGCUCCCUUGCUGAACACACGGUAUCCUCCAUCGGGGAGAUUGAUGACAGUUGACAUGCUCUUUCUCACUGAAUUGAAGGUGUAAACUUUUGGAAUUGUCUCUUCCGGAUGGCGAUCACGAAUCUCUUGAUACGAUUUUCCAAGGGCAAGUACGAAUCCAAGCAUACCACAUUCUGUCUUAUUUCCAAGCUGGGUGGCUUGUUCUCCGAGUUGUUUUGGUGGAAUAACUUGAGACGAGUACGAGGAAUUGAUUGAAAUACAGUCCAUCAUGAGUUUAGCGGUAUUCUGAUCCAGUGACUCGAUCUUUGGAGUAUCCUUGUAAUGAACAUCAUUGACAAACGAUUGAACAACAGUCAUUCGAUUGGUGGUGAGUGUUCCCGUUUUGUCAGAACAAAUUGCAGUGGCAUUUCCCAUUGUUUCACACGCGUCCAAGUGACGAACCAAAUUAUUGUCGAGCAUCAUUUUCUUGACCGAAUAGGCAAGAGAAAGAGUAACAGCAAGUGGAAGUCCUUCUGGAACGGCGACGACCAACACGGUGACUCCGAUGAUGAGGAAAUUGAUGAAAUGUUGGAAAUCGGCAAGUGAAAAUGAUUUUCCGUCAAUGGCGUAACGAGAGAUGCAGAAGCGGAUGAUGAGAAUGAGAACGGUGCAUCCGGCGACGAAUGAACCUGGAAAAAUUGGAAGUUAGUUUUGAACUGGCUGUUAUUAAAGAUGGUGUUGUCGACCCUUAUGUAUUGCUCUAUUAGACUCAAAAUUGCCUGAAAACACCGAAUUUCCUAAUGCAACUUCUUGAAAACUUCUCAAAAAAAACGUUAAGACGGCUCAAAAAAUGGCCUAAAAUUAGUUAAAAUUUGAAAUUCGACCAACUUGUCGCAGCGGCUGGAAACAAUUUUUCUUGAAAUCACCGUCAAAGUUUGAGUAUACAAUGUAAUUAUCUUGCGUUUUCCACUUCAUUCAGGUAUUUUAAAGUCAAUGGACAGCGAGAUUUUCAAAUUUUUUUUUAUCAAAUCUCGCCGUCCAUCGACUUUAAAAUGCCUAAAUGAAGUUGAAAACGCAAGGUAACUACAUUUUAUAAUCAAGCUUUGAAGCGGUGAUUUCAAGAAAAAUUGUUUCCAGCCGCUUGAUAAAUCGGUCAAAUUUCAAAUUUUAACUAAUUUUAGGCCAUUUUUUGAGCCGUCAUAACUUUUUUUUUUUGAGAAGUUUUCAAGAAGUUUCAUUAUGAAAUUCGGUAUUUUCAGACAAUUUUGAGUCUAAUAAAGCAACAAAAAAAAUUGGACUACACUACCUUUAAGGCAGGUACUCAGAAUUAAAAAAAAAAUUUAAAAAUGCGAAAAAUGUCCUAAUUUUUGCAAAAAAACUUCAAUUUUUUGGUUUUUCUUGUCACAACGGCCGGAAUUUGACUUUUAUUUAAUUUUUACAUAAAUAGAAAAUUUUGAUUUAUAUUUAUACGCGUUUUUUGUCGAUUUAGGUAAGUUUUCAAUCGAUAUCAACUGAAUAGGAUUUUCAACAAAAAACGCAUAAUAAAAUACCAAAUUCUGCAACUUAUGGUAAAAAUUGAAGAAAAAAAUAUAAAUUCCUGCCGUUCACACAAGGAAAAGUUGGCAAAAUUGGUCAUUUUAGUAAAAAAUAGGUUAUUUUUAAAAAAAUAGGAAAAUUCGGUUUUUCGGGGUUCUGGCAAAAUUUUUUUCUAGCAGUGAUGCUCAUCUUGAGCCUCAAUUUCCUUCUGAAAUUUUUUUUUUCAGCGUGCAUUUUUCACAGUAAAUGUGUGUUGCAAAAAAUCGAUUUCACAAACAAUUUUCUGGUUUUUUCAGUGAAAAAUUGCACUUUUCAGCUCAAAUUUCGCGCCCAAAAACUCACCAGCAUAUCCAAUUUGAAUAGCAAGCCGUGUAAGUUUUGCCUGGAGCACAGAUCGUUCCUUCUUUCCGUCAGAUUCCGCUGCAGCGACAGCUUUUCCGUUAGCCAUGGCUUCAUCUCCUUUCGAGUCUGAAAAUGGAUUAGAACAUAGCGAUAGAACGUUGUUGAAAUGGCAGCACUUUUUUUGAAUUGGAAUUUCCACGGAUUCACUGUGAGAUGGGUCUCGGCGCGCAAAAAAGGUUAUGGUAGUUUGCUACACAUUUUUCGGUUAAAAAUGGUUUUUUGUACGUUGAAAACUGAUUUAAAACAAUUUUUAACAGAAAAAUGUAAAGACAGCGAUAAAAUUCGUUAAAACAGAGCAAUUUCAAUGAAAAAUGCAGUCGCAAAAAUAGAACUGUCGAGACCCAUCUGACUUAAUUCGUGUGCCUUUAAAUGUCAAAAUCUAUUGAUAUACAACGAUAUAUCGAUCGAAAAUUAGUCAAAAAGAAAACCAAUUAACCAAAUAAAAAGUAAUAACAGAGUGAGAAAAGAGAGAGAGAGAGAGAGAGAAGUUCGAGAAAAGCAGAGAAAUCGACAGGAAUUCGGGUGGAAUUGCCAUGAUCAGUGGAGGCCUGGGAUGCAUUACUAAAAAAAAUGGUCAGAGCUCUUUUUUUUUUUUUUUUGCACAACAUCCAUUCCAGCAUCUACUGACUUUGACAAAAUCUACUCGAAAAAUUUCCCUAGUUUUCUCUCUUUUUUCAAACAUUCUCUCCAUGUCUUUUCCUUGAAAUUGGGGGUCCAGCACUCACCGAGAAGCGCCUGUGCAGUUCCUUCCUCGGCUCCAGAUGCUCCAUCGCCGCCUGCAAAAAAGAUCAAACCUCUAUGAGAGAAAUAGAAGUGAAAUUUUGGGUCUCGAACAGAAGAAGGAUUCUGUGGAUUUUGUGUCGAUUUACGCAGGCAUCGUGUACUCCGCGAGGAGAAAACUAAUUUGUGUGUCUGAAACUCUGGAUUUUGUACUAAUUUCGCUAGUUUUUCCUUGAGUUUAACAUUAAAAAUUGAACAUUUACCUCUAUUAGAUAUUACCAAACACAACAGGACCCAGGGGGCGUGGCGCGGGAAGAGCUAAAAUUGUGUAGAUUUACGGAGCGCGUUAAGAUUAAUUUAACUAUUAACGCUCCGUAAAUCUACACAAUUUAGGCUCUUCCCGCGCCACGCCCACUGGGUUCUGUUGUGUUUGGCAAUAUCUAAUAGAGAUAAAUUUUCUAUUUCUUAAUGUUAAACCCAAGUGAAACCUGGUGAAAUUCAGUCCAAAGCCCAGAAUUUCAGGCAAAAACUGUAAAAUCUUGCAGAAACAAGAAUUCGCGCUUCUCGCCGUGGAGUACACAAGCACAAGCCCUGCGUAAAUCUAAACUUGCACGUAGUGCCAGGCGGUCUCAUCACGGUUUGAUCUAAAAAAAAAUGCGGAAAUUUUUAGUCCAAAAAUAUGUUACGUCAGCACGUUCUUAACCAUACAAAAUCAGUUAAAAACUCUCUGCGUCUCUUCUUCCGCAUUUUUUGUAGAUCAACAUAGAUCAAGCCGAAAUGAGACACUCUGACACCACGUGCACGUGUGGCUUGAAAAAUUCACGAAUCUUUCGUUCUGUCACUUUUUUCUCAAAUAUAUAUAUAUAUAUAUAUAUGGGGAAACGACACUGAAGUUAUAAAAUUUUUAGGGGGAGUAGAAAAUAGACUUUUCAGGCAUAUUCUGGGGAAUUUCAGAUCAAGCUAAUAUUCACAAAACACCACCAUCAUCAUCAUCAUCAUUAUCAUCACGACCAAGACACCAUCCAGUAUGUAAUAGAAGAAGACGAGGAAAAUCUAUUUAAAGAAGAAGAAGAAGAAGAAGAUAUAAAUAAUAAAAUAGAGUAUAACAUUUUUAGGGUGAUAGAGUUGUGAAUUUCGUGUGUGUGCACGUGGUGUCAGAAUGUCCCAUUUCGUUCUGAUCUACAAAAAAUGCGGGAACUUAAAUAGAGUCGUAUACCCUUAAUCUGACACCACGUGUGUGUGGGCGUGUGUGAUAAAUCUGGGACCAACCACGUGUACAAGUGUGUGUGUGUGUGUGUGUGUGUGUGUGUGUGUGAGUGUUAUGCGUGUAAUUUUGUGUGUGUGUGUAGUUGAAUGGGGGAAAACCAAAUUCCUAAUCAGAAAAAUCGCUAAACGGGUUUCCAAUUAUCGAUUUACUCGGCCAUGUGUCGAUUUACGCCGUGUACUCCACGAGGAGAAGAUUACUACUAGUUUUUGGGCCGACACCGAACUCGCCGAAAUAGUGCUUCAAGUGAAAACUGAGACUGAAAUUGUAUCGUUUUCGCGGUUUUUCUUUUUGACGAAAAAUUUUGAUUUUUCUACCGAAAUUUUUCGUAAAAUCGUAAAUAUCAACCUUUUCACGUACUUUUUUUUUUAAAUAAAGGUUUUUCGAAGAACUACCAGAAAUUGAGAAUUUUUACGAAAAAUGGCAAUUUGGUAAUAAUAUUUUCUGCAUCAAAAAGUGCCGAAAUUUCAGGAAAUUUACGCAUUUCUCAGGUUGUGAAAGGCGAAAAUUCAAUUUUUUUUUGCCAAAAACAGACAAAAAAAGCAGAAGAUGACAAAAUUUCAGUGAUUCGAGAACUUUUAGUAAAAACCGAAAAACCGACUUUUUCUCGAGGAGUACACACGAGCUGCGUAAAUCGACACAAGCUUCAAUUGGAAGCCCGUUGAGAAAGACUGUAGAAGAUAGGAUAGAAGACGGCGACGACGACGACGCAGACAGGCAGAGACGACGAGAAUCAGAAAGAUCAGAAGAUCAGUAACAACAACGACGAAGAAGACGACGACGACGACGACGAUUCAGAGAAGGAGUAGAAGUAGUAGUAGUAGGAGAGUUGCAGGAGAGAGAUUGGAAAACUACCAUUUUGAUUUUGAGCCUGAUGAUGUGAAUCUCGAUGUUCACGAUGAUGAUGAUGAUGAUGGUGGUGAUGAGAUUUGACCGACGAUCGAGAACGUCGUUCUGUAAACCGAUUAGAGAGUAGUUUGAGAGGGUGAAGAGAGGAUUCAGAGAGAGAGAGAGAGAGAGAGAGAAGUGGUGAUGGAGAGAGAGAGAGCGAGAGCUAGAGAGAGACGUAGACAGCCGAAGGAAAAGAAAAAAAAAGCUAAGAUUUAAUUUGAUUGACUAUCAAAGAUCAGCCCCCCGUACCCUCUCUCUUUGCAGUUUUUCGUUCCUCUUCAGCGACGGUCUUGGCGGCGCCGAGCAGUGUCAUGAUGAUUCCAGUCUGUGAGUUGACUCCGACAGCUGUCACCAACAUCUGUAAGAGAAAUCAUUGGGGGAUUUUUAACGAAAGAACUCGCGGAGUUUUGUUCUGGAAAGUCGUUAAAGGUGGCGUAGUCGAAUUUAUUAUUUAUGAUUUUUUUGCAGUUUUCUGUUGUAUUCUUGCUAAUAUUGCCGAAUCAAAGUCCGCAUAUAGAUCUACAUAAAUUUAAAGGUGGCGUAGUCGAAUUUUUUUAAAAUUGCUUUAUUAGACUCAAAAUUGUCUGAAAACGCCGAAUUUCAUAAUGAAACUUCUUGCAAAAAACUAAAAAAAAAAACGUUAAGACGGCUCAAAAAAUGGCCAAAAUUAGUUAAAAUUCGAAAUUUGACCGGCUUGUCAAUGUAGCAGCAGCUGGAAACAAUUUUUUUUUGAAAUCACCGUCAAAUUUUGAAUAUACAAUGUGAUUUUCUUGCGUUUUCAACUUCAUUCAGGUGUUUAAAAGUCGAUAGACGGCGUGAUUGUUAAAUUUUUUAAACCAAAUCUCGCCGUCCAUCGACCUAAAAAUACCUAAAUAAAGUUAAAAAGCAAGAUAAUUACAUUGCAUAUUCAAAAUUUGACGGUGAUUUCAUCAAAAAAAAUUGUUUCCAGCUGCUGCUGCGACAUUGACAAGUCGGUCAAAUUUCGAAUUUUAACUAAUUUUAGGUCAUUUUUUGAGCCGUCAUAUUACAUUUUUUUGAGAUUUUCGCAAGAAGUUUCAUUAUGAAAUUCGGCGUUUUCAGACAAUUUUGAGUCUAAUAGAGCAAUUUUCAAAAAAUUCGACUACGCCACCUUUAAAUUUAUAUAGAUCUAUAGAUGCGGACUUUGAUUCGACAAUAUUAGCAAGAAUACAACAGAAAACUGCAAAAAAAUCCAAAAAAGUACGAGAAAAUUUGACUGAAAUUUUUUUAAGUCAAGAAAUGGGCGGAGCCUAUAUUCAGAUCUUCUUUACGAUUAGCUGUGUGUUUUGCAUGAUUAAAAAAUUUUUAAGUCUAUAUAGGUUAGACAGUUUAACUUUAAAUUCAAAACGGCGCAACACGCUGAAUUUUGAAUUUCAACUGUCUAAGGCUUAAAUACUUUUUAAAAAACAUGCGAAAAUAGCUUAAAAAGAUCUGCAAAUAGGCUCCGCCCAUUUCUUGGCUCUUUGCGUUUUUCAGUCAAAGUUCCUCGAAUUUUUUGAAUUUUGUUUUUGCAUUUCACUGCAACUUUUUUCAAACGGGGGCCGAGAAAAAAUGCGAAAAAUCGGUGUUUGCACACAGUACACCGCAUUUAACGACAUUUUGUACUUGCUUUGUUUUCUUGUGUUUUUCACCGAUUUUUCCCGUUUUUUUCUUAUUAAAACUGAUAAAUAAAUAUUUUUUGCAGAUGCUAAAACAAUGUCCAAGUGAAAAAAUUGUGUAUUGAGUCGGUAAGUAGCGGUGAAAGUGGUCAAUGUAAUAUGAUGGAUUACGGGAAUACAAAACCUAAACUUUUUUCCAAACAUGAUACAUAUACCGCUUAGAUGUUGAAACUACCUGAUUUUCAUAACGAGACCGCUGAAAAAGUUUUGAGUUUUUCGAAAUUCAAAUUUUUUAGUGAAAAAGUUGAGGUUUUCGCACAAAAAGUUGAAUUUUGAAAACCUCAAAACUUUUUCAGCGGUCUCGUUAUGAAAAUCAGGUAAUUUCAGCAUCUAAGCAUCAUAUGUAUCAUGUUUCAGAAAAAGUUUAGGUUUUGUAUUCCCGUAAUCCAUCAUAUUGCAUUGACCACUUUCACCGCUGCUUGCCCACUGAAUACAUAAUUUUUUUACUUGGAAAUUGUUUUAGCAUCUGCAAAAAGUAUUUAUUUAUCAGUUUUGAUAAGAAAAAACGAAAAAAUUCGGUGAAAAACGAAAGAAAACAGGCGGAAAACAAAGCAAGAUAAAUGGCCGCUGAAACUUGUCGGCCCCUCGGCCAUGGCCUAGAAACCACUUUUCCUCGUCCCUCGUGAGGAAAAAGUUGCAGUGGCAAAGUUUCCUCGACUAACACAAACCUUUCCAGAUCCUUCCAUAACGUGUGUUCCAGACAAAAUAAUCGGAUCGUGCUCGGGGCUCUUCCUGAUUUGAUCCGAUUCUCCUGUCAACGAGGACUCGUCCAUUUUAAGAUCAUUCGAUUGAAUGAUAAUUCCGUCUGAUGGAAUCAAAUCUCCGUACUUGAUCUGGGCAAUGUCACCGACGACGAGCUCAUUCACGACGACUUGUACCGAUUGACCGCCACGAAGGACGAAGAAUCGAUGUUCGGUUUCGAUUUUCGCUUGGAGACCACGGAAUUGACGUUCCUUUGUGUAAUCAUUGAGAGCCGUGACCAGUACGACGACAAUAACUGAGAUGAGAAUUGCGACACCUUCGAUCCAUCCGGCAUCGUGUUCACUGUCAUCCGAACCCGCUGAAAAUUGAGAGAAAAAUUGGAAUUUGAAUGAAAAAAAAUUCAAUCUUAUUUAUAAUUUCGAAGAUUUUGCGAUUUUCGGGUCUCGAAGCGAACAAUUUUCUGUAAUUCAACAAAUUGUGCGCCUAUAAAGGAGUACUGUAGUUUCCAACUCUUAGUUUUUUUUUCGGAAUUGUGAAAAUGUAUGAAAUUCAUCAAAGAAUUAGCAACUACAGUAGUCUUUAAAGGCACACGAUUUUUCAAAUUUAAGAAAACCGGUCACUCACGCUCUCCUCAAAGCCGAAUAAUUAUUAGAGCGCGCUUGCAGCGCUUCGCGUUUCUGCAUCCGUGGUAUUUUGCCUUUCCACUGAAAUAAGCAGCUUAUAAGCUUAUAAGCAGCUUAUAAGCUUAUAAGCAGCUUAUAAGCUUAUAAGCAGCUUAUAAGCUUAUAAGCUUAUAAGCAGCUUAUAAGCUUAUAAGCUAAUAAGCUUAUAAGCUAAUAAGCUUAUAAGCUAAUAAGCUUAUACGCUUAUAAGCUAAUAAGCUUAUAAGCUAAUAAGCUAAUAUGCUUAUAAGCUGCUUAUUUCAGUGGAAAGGCAAAAUACCGCGGAUGCAGAAAUGCGAAGCGCUGCAAGCGCGCUCUAAUAAUUAUUCGGCUUUGAGGAGAGCGUGAGUGACCGGUUUUCUUAAAUUUGAAAAAUCGUGUGCCUUUAAAGACUACUGUAGUUGCUAAUUCUUUGAUGAAUUUCAUACAUUUUCACAAUUCCGAAAAAAAAACUAAGAGUUGGAAACUACAGUACUCCUUUAUAGGCGCACAAUUUGUUGAAUUACAGAAAAUUGUUCGCUUCGAGACCCGAAAAUCGCAAAAUCUUCGCAUUUGGGUAAUAACACAAUCAUGUGUCGAUUUACGCAGCAUGUGUACUCCAGGAGGAGAAGCUGUUUUUUAAACAGCUUCUAUAUGAUGAAAUUCAGGGGGUUUUGGAGGUUUUAGAAGAAAAUCGAAAUAUUUACUGUUGAAAACCCAGGCAACUAUAUAUUUUGGCUCGAAAGUUGGGAAAAAAUCGAUUUUUUGCUGUAAACUUUGAAAAAAUCCAACAGAAAAUGUCAAUUUUCAGCCAGUUUUUCGGAUUUUUUUUUGAAUUUUUACAUACUAUUUUCCUAUAUUUUGGUAAACUUUUGAUUAUAAAAGUUGAAAAUCAAGGUUAAUUUUCGCUGAAAAAUUCGAAAAAUGCACUAGAACAUUGUCGUUUUCCGGGUAAUUACACUUUCCAGCCAGUUUGUUGCAAAAUGAGAGAAAGAUUGGCGAUUUGAGUGCUAAAAAUCGCGCCAAAAUCGGUAAAAUCUAUCAUCUUCUCCUCGCGGAGUACACGGCCGUGAUUUUCUUCUUCCAUCAAAAAAAAAAACUAUACCAGUAUCUUCUCCAGGAGGUCUGUAGAAUGAAAGAGCAAGUGAUACGAUUGCAGAAACAAGAAGAAUAACAAGAGUGACGUCCUGAAAAAAAAAACAAUUUUUUGGAUUUUUUUCUUUUUUUUUCAGAAUUUUCCAGUGCUAGUCCCUCAAAAAAGAGGACCUUCCAAUAUUUUUUUCCGCCGAAAAAAAAAAAAAAACUUUUAGGUUGCCACAACCCACCCACUCAUGCAUAUUCAAUAAUUUCCUUUUUUUUGCUUUUUUCUCGUCUUUUUUCUUUUUCUUGCUCAUAAAAAGGCAUACGGAGUAAGAGAAAAAAGGGAAAAAUGUUUUAAAUUAGAGUGCACGAGAAUUAUGGAGACGCAGAGAGAAACCUCUUGGGAGAGAGAGAGAGAGCAUUUAUUCUUUUGAAAGAAGCUCUUGGGAAAAUGAGGGAAUUUUUUAGUUUUAGAUAAAUAUUUGAAUAAAUAAAAGGUGAAGGGUGGGGGAAUUUUUAGAGCUUUAAAAAUUAAAAAAAUUAAAAAUUGCUUGAAAUUCGCGAAAAAAUGGGAAUUUUUACUGAAUUUCCACACAUUUUAGGCACUAUUUUAACAGAAAAUCGAACAAUUCGUGAAAAAAAAAGCCAAAAUCCAUCCAAAAUCACCGAUUUUUGCAUUUUUAGCGGCGGGAAAAAAUAAUUUUGAACAUUUUUGAGGUUUUUCCAGGAUUUUCCCCAUUUUAUGCACACAUUUUUCGUGUUUUUUUAUAGAGAAAAAAUGACGAUUUUAAUGAAAAAAUGAGAAAAUCUUUUCAGAAAAAUGCAAUUUUUCCAAUAAAAAAUUAUCCAAACUCAGCUGAAAUUUUGAUUGAAAAUUGGCAUUUUCAAGUCUUUUUUACUGAUUUUCUACACAUUUUAGGUAUUUUUAAAAAGAAAAAUCGAAAUUUUCGAAAAAAAAAAAGAAUCAAAUCCAGUUAAAAUUUCGUCGAUUUUCACCAUUUUUAGCGCUCAGGAAUCAAUUUUAAUCAAAUUUUCCAUCAAUUUUAUGUGCAUUUUUGGUGUUUUAAGAGAAAAAAUGUCGAUUUUAAUGUCGAAAAUCAAUUUUUUUUUCCAACAAAAAUUGCCCAAAUUCAGCUGAAAUACUCAUUUUUAUUCAAUUUUUCCUCUCAAUUUUGUUUGAAAAUUGGCAUUUUCCCGGUAUUUAAUGAAUAUUUUCAGUCGUUGGGAACGAAAUUAAUCGAAAAAAAAAUUAAGUUUUUAGUCUCAAAAUUUCGAAAAAAAAAACUGACUAAAAUCCCGGAUUUUUGCCUAAAUUGCCCAUUUUUAUCGCAAUUUUCAGUCAAAUUACUGAAAAAAGUGCCAAAAAAUCCACGAAAAACGCGGCGGAAUUUGAAGGAAAUUUGCCGUUUUUAGCCAAAAUUUGAGUAAUUUUUGCUCAUUUUUCCGCCGCGAAUUUUCACCUGAAGAGCCUCCCAAACAAGCUGUAAGAAGCAUUUCGGUGGAUGUGGUGGAAUUUCAUUGGCUCCGAACACGUUUCUUCGCCUUUCGAGCUCCUCUUCGUUGUUGGGCAGUCCAUUAUUGGGAUCUGUUUUCAAUCGUUCACACAGACCCGUUGUUCCUCCGUAAUCUGUCUCGAUCUUUUCUUUGGCUUCGGCGCUCCUGUAAUGUAAUAAUAAAAAGAUUAGCUUUUUUUGUUUCGUUGAUUUAUUAGUAAUAAAAAUGGAGAUAAAGCACUAGAAAUGAGGGGUUUUUGCUGUAAAAAAUCCGAAAAAAAUGGGGUAAAUUUUGCUUUUUCGGCAAGAAAUUCACUUUUUAAAUCGAAUUUCUGCUUUUUUUUAUUGAUUUUUAGUCUAAAAGCACCUUUUUAGUCUAAAAGCACACAAAUUUGGUCACAAUCAACUGGAAAUGUGCCCCCAAAAACAACAAAAAUGUGAAAAAUUGGACAGAAAAUCAAUAAAAACAUUGGAUUUCCGGCAGAUUCCAGCGAAAUGUAUCCUUUUUUUUCCAAAUUUGUAGCUAAAAAUUCCGAAAAAAUGUGGUGAAUUUAGUUAAAAUCUGCAAUUUUUGGGGGCGGAAAUCACAUUUCCAUCCUAUUCUGGUUCAAAAAUUUUCUCACAAUCGACUGGAAAUGUGCGUAAAACGACAAAAAUGGGCCAGAAAAUCGAUAAAAAUUGGAUAUACGGGGCAGCUGCGGCGCGGAAAAUGCAGAUUUCAGCUAAAUUUAGCCCCUUUUUUCGAAAUUUUCAGCCAAUUCUCACUAAAAACUCUCAGUUUUUGGUCCGUCAGAGAAAAAUAUUUUAUAGUGAGAAUUGGCUAAAAAUUCCGAAAAAAAAGGGGAUUUAUAUAGAAUUUCUCUCCAAUUUUGUGGAUUUUUUGCUGAUUCGGGUGCCUUUUUAGUCGAUAAGUUUAUAAAUUUGGUCAUAAUCGACUGGAAAUGUGCCUAAAAACGACGAAAAAAUCGCAAAAUUAACGUAAAUUCGAUAAAAAAAUUUAUUGGACUUCCGGCUGCUGCGGCACGGAGAAAUGCAGAUUUCAGCUAAAUUUAGCCCCUUUUUUUCGAAAUUUUCAGUCCUUCAGAGAAAUAUAUAGUGAGAAUUGGCUGAAAAUUCUGAAAAAGGAACUAAAUUUAGCUGAAAUUCAAUUUUUUUAAAUAAUUUUCGUCCAAUUUUUUGCGAAAUUAAGUGCAUUGGUACAUAAAUUCGGUCCCAACCGACUGGAAAUGUGCCUAAAAAUGGCAAAAUAUAACAGAAAAUCGAUAAAAAUUGGAUAUACGGGGCAGCUGCGGCACCGAAAAAUGCAGAUUUCAGCUAAAUUUAGCCCCUUUUUUCGAAAUUUUCAGCCAAUUCUCACUAAAAACUCUCAGUUUUUGGUCCGUCAGAGAAAAAUAUUUUAUAGUGAGAAUUGGCUAAAAAUUCCGAAAAAAUUGGGGAUUUAUAUAGAAUUUCUCUCCAAUUUUGUGGAUUUUUUGCUGAUUUGGGUGCCUUUUUAGUCGAUAAGUUUAUAAAUUUGGUCAUAAUCGACUGGAAAUGUGCCUAAAAACGACGAAAAAAUGGCAAAAUUAUCGUAAAUUCAAUGCUGCGGCACGGAGAAAUGCAGAUUUCAGCUAAACUUAGCCCCUUUUUUUUCGAAAUUUUCAGUCCUUCAGAGAAAUAUAUAGUGAGAAUUGGCUGAAAAUUCUGAAAAAAGGAACUAAAUUUAGCUGAAAUUCAAUUUUUUUAAAUAAUUUUCGUCCAAUUUUUUGCGAAAUUAAGUGCAUUGGUACAUAAAUUCGGUGCCAACCGACUGGAAAUGUGCCUAAAUGUGGCAAAAUAUAACAGAAAAUCAAUGAAAAUUGGAUUUCCGACGGCUGCGGCACCGAAAAAUGCAGAUUUUUGCUAAAUUUAUCACUUUUUCAGGAAUUUUUAGCCGAAAUAUGGUUUUUUUUGUUGCGUACUCACCUGUACUCCAUAAGGGCGCGAAGCUCCUCCAGUGAUGCACCAUAUUCGGGCAUCUUUCUGCAACGAAAAAAAAUGAGAAAAUUAUUUAUUUAUUUAUUCUUUUUUUUAAGAAAAAAAACAACGCAAUAACUAUUUCUGAAUGGUAUGUGCUGCUGCUUCGAUUAUUGUGUGCUGUUAUCGAACGGAAAUACACACGCUGAGUCACCAUGAAGAAUGGGCAAAUAUAUUUCUAUCAGACCGCGAGGGCAUUUUCAGACUUUACAGUGUGGAAAAUUUUUAUUUUUCCUUUUUUUUUCAAAGCAAAUCUGUCCGGGAGAGGCCGUGACUCAACCUGUUGGGCAAAACUACAAGCCGAUCGCGGCAAGUAAACGCGGAAAAGUAAAAAAAAAAAAAAAACGAAGCACAGAAAACAACAAGCAGCACACAAAAAUAACAACGGCGGGCAAGCUGCUGCCAUCGAUAUAUAAAAAUUGAUCGAUUUUAUUGAUAACAUUUGAUAAAAUAGAAAGCGCGCGCUGACUAUUUUUCAACUAUUUGAGUGCAUUUUAUAAUUUUCUCGCUUGAUUUUAGGAAAAAAAUUUUAUAUUCGAAAAAACACCAAUUUUCCACGUGUUUUUACGCUGAAAACCUCCAAAUUUCCACGCGGAAUUGUAAAUGCAACAAAAAAGCAUGUGAAAUGACUCAAAUGAGCCAGAAAAAAAUGCUCUUGGCAGGGGUGUGUGGCGGAGAAGAAGGGGGGAAAAGGCAUCUGCUGUUGUUUUUGAGGAGCUUCUCUCCCCCAUCUUUUUCAGCCGCUGCUGCUCGUUUUCUGUGUUGUUUCCGGGGGGGCGCUAACAGACGCAGACGGCAAAAUAAGUGAAAACCCGACGUCUUAUUUCUUUUUUUGUUGCGUGUUCUUACGUUGAUUAUAUGAAAAAGCUAAAAAGCUUUCUUGCAGGUAGUUGUAGUUGCACACAGAUCUGAAAAAUUGGAAAUUGGGAUGGGAAAUCGCGAGAAAAUAGGCGAGAAAUUAAAAUUUUCGAAAAUGAAAUUAGAAAAUUUGUAUGUUCGCGCCGCGGCGAGUACGGUGUGCAAUUGUACGCAAUUAGUGUACGCAAGCACCGUUGCGCACCGUACCCGCGCGGGUGUUUUGAAUUUAAUAAAAUGUGUUUUUUAAUUAGAUUUUUUGAGAUUUAAUUAGCGUUUCAAAUUUAAUAUGUAAAGUAUUUUUUGAGAUAAAAAUAUUUAAAAAAAGCUCAAAGGCCCCAGAACGUUGGGUCUUGUUAGGUAUUUGCCGAUAAAACCGUUAAUUCAAACUUUUUCAAUUAAUUUUGCAGAUUUCGAAGCUUUUUUCGUCUUUUUCGUUAUAUUUUCCGUAGUUUUUUUAUUUUUUGUUGAUUUUUACGUCAAAAUGGUUUUCUUUAGCAUUAUUUCGAGGUUAAAAUAAAUUUAAAAGACGACAAAUUCUUGAAAAUUGGCGAAAUCCGAGAAAAAUGAAUAUUUCAUCGAUUUUUGCAUAAAAAUCUUUAAAAACAACGAAAAACAUAACAAAAUCGUCGAAAAAUUCUUGAAAAUCGGCGAAACUAAUUUAAAACAUUUGAAUUUCUUGUUUUACCGCCAUUUACCUAAUAACGAGACCCAUUGCCCGUGGAGCGCGUUUCAACGUCAAUUUCUAAAAAAAGGGGCCACAAUACUUGCCUCUGAGUUUUUUCUCGGUCUGUUAUUCUUGUUUUUCGAAAAUUUGAAGUCAGAACGAGUUCAUCAUACGAAUUGUCCCUCACUCUCUACCUUUUCGAACCAGCCUACUACUGUAUGCAGGUUUGUCUCGGCCCAAUCGUUGAUGCAACUGAAAACAAACGAAAACGUAAAAUCGAAUGAAUAUUUAAUUUUUUUGUUCAAGCGUUUGAAAAAUAAAUUGAGAAACGCAACGGGACGGGCAGGAAGUUGAACGAAAAGACAAAAGAUCGUCGUCGUCCCCGGGACUAAAAGUGUGUGGAGGGCCCCUACCGAAAAAGUUUAGUUUGCAAGUGGCCAAAAAAAAUGGGAAGGGAUGAAGAAGACGAGACGAAGGCGAGAAAAAGAUGGAAAGGAAGAAGAAGAAGAAGAAGUCGACGGCGACGUCUUCUCCGUGUGAAAAACGCAAAAUAGUGACGGCGGGUCGCGCCGGAUGAGAAAAAAGAAAAAAAGAAGAGCCCGCGCCGCCGACGUCAUCAAAAAAAUUUUUUUUUAAGAGUGAGAACCAGAAUCAAAUAGAAAAAAUGAAUGACUAGAGUUUAUUGGAAAAUUGGAAGAUUAUUGUCCGCAAAUUGUGGGCGAAAUAAUUCCACAAUUGAUAAGGUUUUAUCGAUAGCAAAUAAACUUUCCACAAUGUAUUUAUGAAUUUAAAAUUAGUCAAGAUAUAGAGAAAACGAGGAAAUUUGGUCAGAAAUAUUGGUCUUUUCAUUAAUAUCGAGUUUUUCGUAGAUGCAGAUAUUACGGGAACCCAAAUGCCUGAGAAUGCGUCUUACACAACAUAUUUGACGCGCAAAAUAUCUCGUAGCGAAAACUACAGUAAUUUUUUUAAUGGCUACUGUAGCCAUUGUGUAGAUUUACGGGCUCGAUUUUUGAAAUGAAGUGAAAUAAUUUAUUUAUUUAAAAAUAGAAAAUUGAAAUUAAAGUAAACAAAAAAUGUAGUCAUUCCGAGAGUUACUGUAGUUUUCGGUACGAGAUACUGUGCGCGUCAAAUAUGUUGUGCAAUACGCAUUCUCAGAAUUCCGUGUUCCCGUAAUAAUAACUUGAACCAGUUUUAGGAGUAUGCAUGGCUAAAUUUUUUUUUUGAAAACAUUCUUAAGCUGCUAAAAUUGCUCCAAAAUUUUUUUUUUCAAAAAGUUUUUCUUACGAUGUUCUGGCUAUGAAUUCUGAAAGCUUUUUGGUUUUUUUUUUUUUUAAAUCUGAAAAUUAUAUCAAAAAAUUUCAUCUUUAUUCAAAAAAUUAAGAAAUUCCAAACUAUUCUCAACAGUUUUAAAUUUUGUAAAGGUCAGAUUCUUCAUAAUUUUGAAAUUCUCUGAAUAUUUUUUCUUGCCUACCACAAAAUCUCUAAAGUCAGAAUUUUUUUUGCAAAAAAAAAGAAACAGUUUUGGAGCAAUUCUCGAUUUCUCCGAAAAAAAUCACUGCAAAAACUUCAGGGGGUAGCCUGAAAAACUGCACAAAACCUGUAAUUUUGGGUUAAAAAAUUCAAAAAAAAAAAAAGUAUUUUUUACUUCUAAAUAUCCUGAAAGUUUCCGAAAGUUGACCAAAAAAAAUGCUCGAAAUUUCAGAAAAAGUGCACUGAAACUGUAACAUUUCAGAACGAAAUUUCAUUUUUUUUUCUUUUUAAGAAACGACCAAAAAUUAAAAAAAAAUUUUAACAAGAAAAAAAAUAGAGAAACGGAAAAGCUGAAGCCGUGGCGGGACACCGGUUGUUUUUCCACAAUUUUUUUCUUAUUAGACCCCGCGACAAGACAUGGAGAAGGCGGGGUGGGGGUGGCGAAAAGAAAAAAAUGCGAUCUAUAUAUAUUUAUGCUUAUGCUCUGAAGGAGGGGGGGGGGGGGGUCUCUGCUUUAACGUGUGAAGGAUUAUGGAAAAAUAUAUAUGGCUAGGAGGGCGUCGCGCACGCAGUUCGUCUCUCCAUCUCCUCAUCUCUAAACUCCCAAAAAACGAAAAGCGGGAUAGCUUUCUCAGCACAACUCAAGUCUGACUUGAAUCAAUUUGUGUCUGUGUGUACUGGAGAAGUGGGAGAAGAAGAAGGAACGAAUCGAGCAAGAAAGAGAGAGAGAGAGAAAGAGGAAAAGACAUAGCCGCUCUUUUUACGGGGCCCUGCUCCAAAAAAGACGACGUCGUCGCUUCUCCUUGUGCUGCUCUUAGCUCCCUCUGCUGCUGCUGCUGCAUCGACGAGAAGAGUGAGCACAUACACACACACACACACACACACACACACACACAAUUCAAUGGGAUUUGGAAUUGGUCCAAUUGUAUGUAUGAGAAAAAGAGAGAAGACUGGAAAAACGAGAGAAAGGAGGCGCACCAGGGCUUUUCUUUUUCCUUGAGAGGACCGAGCAAAAGCACGCGUUGUCUUCAAGGAGUAGGAGGAGCAAUAGAGAAGAGCACAAAGAGCAUGUAAUAAAUUAUCUAAUACGUUUUAUUUUCUUGUUUAAAAUUUUUGAUUUUUUUUUGAAACUGCAUAUAAUUUACCAGCCGUGGACCGCACCUACGGCGCGGCCCCCGACUUUUUGAGAAAACACAUUAGAUAUACGGUGUCUAUCGCGGACCUCGAUCGAUGUCUGCUGCGCACUUAGCAUAAGGUUUCCCAAAAUUUCGUUGCUCUGAUCAAAGAUCAAACUACAUAGGGACAGAAGGACACGCGCUUUAUAUAUAGUAAAUGAUUCUAAAAGACGCAGAAAAAUUCUAAAAGACGCCCCAAUGUGGUAACGCGCUCCACUGCCAAUUCUCUACCCCCGCAUGUGGGUCUCGUUAGGUAUUUGGGGGCAAAAUAUGUAAAUUCAACCAUUUUUCGUUUUUUAGGUUGAUUUUAUUGAUUUUUUACGAUGAAGAUAUGUUUUUCAAAACGUUUUUUUCAAUUUAAAAAAUUAUUUUUAAACAACUUCGACGCAAAAAUCAAUAUAAACAACUUGGAACAUCACGAAAAAUGCUCAAAAAUUGGCGAAAUCGGCAAAACUUAUUGAAAACUUUUGAAUUUACGGUUUUACCGCCAAAUACACGUCGUGUCAGGCUGUCCCAUAACGGUUUGAUCUACAAAAAAUGCGGAAUUUUUUCGGGCAAAAAUAUGUGACGUCAGCACGUUCUUAAACAAAAGGAAAAAAGUUGAGAACUCUGCGUCUCUUCUCCCGCAUUUUUUGUAGAUCUGAAUGAAAAAGUUACUUCAAAUUGUGCUCGCCAUACAACAUUUUUGGAAAGUUUACGGAAUAGCGACGAGAUUCUAAAAACGGAUAAAAAAUCCUUAAGUCAAACUCAAUUUGAAAAUCGAGCAGCCUUUAUCGAUACUUUCUAUGAAAUAAUUCUUAUGGAUCAAUCUGCCGAGAAAUUUGAAAUCGAUAAGCUAACAAUGUUGGUUAAUAAGUGUUUGAUGCGGAAGCAAUACGUGGAACUUAUGAUUUUAAAGUUUUUCCCCGUAAAUGAAAAAAAUACCGUUGACUUUUUUGGCUUGCUCAAGAAUUUUCAAGCCGAGUUGUUCGCGAAAUAAUUAUUUGAUAGUUAAUUGGAAUUUUUUUGAAUAAAUAUGUUUCUGACCUUAUUAUAUAUUACCCAGACACGAAAUUUCCCAAUUUUUCGUCAAAAGUACGGUAGGUGCCCCAAAAAAUAAAUGCUUUAAAAAUCGUGUCGAGACCGCCUUCGCUACAGCAAGACUCCGCAAACACGGGCAUACACCAAGCACGCUUACCAGUAAGUGCGCUCCACCGGACAGAUUAUAUUUAUUUAUUUUUUGUUGUUUUUUUUUUGUUAUUUUUCACCGACUUCCCUAUGUUUUUCUUGUUUUUUUUCAGUUUUUUGAAUGAAAAUUUAAAUAAAAACCAUUUUCAACAUACAGCGUACAAUUGUCGACUCGGAACAUCAAACAAAACAGAGAUCGAAUAAAUCGAUAACAUUUGGGGUUUUGAAUUAAAAGUCUUGAUUUUUGCGCAAAGGGUUUUCUAAUUUUUUAUACAAUCGUUCAGCCCGAUUCACUGAAAAUAUUUUGAAAAUAUUAUAAUUCUUCACUGAUAUUUUUUACUUCAAAAAAUUUUACUUCAAAAAUUUCAACUCUGUUUUUUUUUCAGAUGGCAAAGUCGAAGAGAUGUAAGAGUUCGAUGAAGAGCAUUGCAAAGAUCAACGAGCGCAGAGCUCUUCUGCAACUUUUUGGUGCAAGUUUCUAAUUUUCUAGCUAAGGUUUUCAACUUUCUAGCAAACUUCUCCAAGUUUCUAGAGCACUUCUACAACUGUUUAGCGCAGAUUUUCAACUUUCUAGCGCUUUUCUCAUACUUUCUAUAGCAGGUUUCCAACUUUCUAGAGCACUUUCGCAGCUUUUUAGCGUAGGUUUCCAACUUUCUGGUGCAAGUUCCUGAAUGUCUAGAGAACUUUUCCAACAACUUUCUAGCCAAGGUUUUCAGUUUUCUAGCAAUUUUCUGCAACUUUCUAGCGAUUAUCUCUAGCAUUCUAUCACAAGUCUCCAACUUUCUAGAUUACUUCUGCAACUUUUUAAAGCAGCUUUCUAGCGCUUUUUUUAAAAACUUUCCAGCGAAUUCCUAGAAAAAUGGGCUAAAAGUUCUGAAUUUUAACGUAAAAAAAUCUAAAAAUUAUGUCAAAUCUGAAAGCUAAAACCUCCAGAUUUCUUCCUUCGAAGUGCGAAAUGGGUGAGCAAAAUGAACCCGUCCGGCGGUGCGUUGGUCAGUGGACGAGGUGGAUUUCGGCCCGGUUUUGUGUCGAGAGACUGGCGACAUGCGAUGGCUGAGCCGAAUUUUGUUAAGGUACGUAAAUCUAUGAUGUUUUUUCUCACUAGACAUUAUGCAAAUUAAUAAGAAUUAAUAACUUUGAUGAUGUAGAAGAGGGUAUUUUCUUUGAAAAUCAAAUAAAAAUACCUAGUAAAGUAAAUGUGUUGACGCAGUUUAAAUUUAGUAGGCAGGCAGGUUUCUAGCUGCGCCUGCCUACCAGAAAUUCUGUUCGGGUGAUCUUACCGUUGUAGGCGCCAAGAGGCUUGUAGGUAGGUAGGUACAAAGCAAGUGCGUGGGCGAAAAUUCAUAUUGACAUGAGAUAGAUGUAGGCAAAUAGGCAGUAAUUUUGGCAGGCGGUAGGCAAACGUGUAGGCAUGGAAUAGGCACAAAAGACAUGUGCGCGAAAUUUAGGCGUGUAGGUAGGCAUUAGGUAGUACGCAAGCAGCGCACACCAAAACAAUUAUUGGGUCGGUUUAUAGUCACCAAAAAGCAGGGGCCUAUACAGGCACAAAAUAGGUAUGCAGGCAUUAAAAGGUAGCCACAAUUUAGUAAUGUCUGCACUAAAAGGUACUUAGGCGCGUAGGCAUGAAGUAGGCGUGCCUAGAAUUCCAAAAAACUAUAGGCACCAAUAGGCAGGAACCUAUAAACUCAUAAAAUAGGUGUGUAGGCACCAAAAGAUAGCCACAAUUUAGCUAUGUCGGCACUGAAAGGUACUUGUACUUAGGUACUUAGGCGCGUAGGCAUGAAGUAGGCAUGAAUAGAAUACCGAAAAAACCCCGAUUUUCAAAAUUCCAAAUUUUCAGCGAUCCUACAACGACUACUGACCCCAUUACAAUGACGUCAUCAGUAAACGGGCGCUCCUUGCCACCAUCACCACCACCACCGAUCUCUUCCUCCACCAACCCAAUUCUCGUCUUUUUCUUCUCAUCCAUAUUAUCUGUGGUCCCGACAUUCCUGAUAGCUAUGAUAAAAAUGAUCCAAAUCCCAAUUGGCGACUGUGUUCCGCGUUGUUCCUCGAUUUUUUCACUUCCUAGUUCUUUGUCUAAAAUUUUUGGUUUUCUUUCGGAGAUGUCAAUGAAUUCGAAUUCGUGUUGCCAAAUACUUGGUUUUAUUCAAUUUUUGGAGCUGGUAGAUCAAAACGGUUCCGACCAAUCAGCAACGUUUGCGAUGCCCAUGUGCAAUGCUGAUUGGUCCGUAGAGGAUUCGGAAGAUCCACGUGGUGUCAGAAUGCCCCAUUUCGUUGUGAUCUACAAAAAAAUGCGGGAUUUCAAACGCAGACUUCUCAACUGAUUUUUUUUGGAAAAAAAUUCCCGCAUUUUUUGUAGAUCAAACUGUUAUAGGACAACCUGACACCACGUGAAGAUCAACCAGGAGUGUGCGGCAAUUGUUGUCGACAAGUUCGGCUAUAAAUUCGGCAAAUUGCCGGUUUGCCGAAAAUUUGGAUUUUUGCCAAAUUGCCGAUUUGCCGUUUGCCGGAGAAACGGAAACACUUAAAACUGGGUAUAUUUUCAUAGAAAUUUCUUACAUUUUCAAAAUGAAUGUAUGAACAAUUUUUCCAAAAAAAAAAAUACAAAACCGGCAAAUUCGGCAAAUUAGUAACUUGCCGGUUUGCCGAUUUGCCGGAAAUUUUCAAUUCCGGCAUUUUGCCCAUUUGCCGAAAAAAUCGUUUGCCGCCCACCCGUGGAAAAGACGUGGUACACAUUUUAUACACGUCAUGCUAACCGCCAAUUACCUCGUUUUUUCAGGAAAAAUAUUAAAUUAAAUUGCUGGUUACAAAAUUGCUAGUUGCAAAAAAUUGUGAAAUUCGGGUACAAAGUUAGAUAUAAAAUUAGAUUUUUUUAAUGAACUACUUUAAUUUGAAAGUUUCUUCGUUAGGAAGCGGCCGACAUUUUCUGGUUCUCUGGGUUUCAGUAGGCAGAGAGUAGGCAUGCCUAUAGGCACGAGGCAGGCAUUAUUUUUUAUGCUAGCGCGUUUCACUUGUAUUUGCACACAAUAAUAUGUUAUAUGUGUUUCUGUUAUCAGUACCUAACAUUUUUUCUUUGGUGUAGUUUUUGUGUGUGCUUACAUACCUGAUAUUGUCCGUUUCUCUAAAAAAUGAAUCUGGAAAAGUUAAGCGAGCUAUUGUGCUUUCAAUGUGGAAAGCUUUAUGGUAAGAUUUAGAAUUAACAUUGAAAUUUGUUGAUUUUUUAACCUUUCACGUAGGCACGUAUAGGCGGUAGGCAGGCGUGUCUAAAAAAGGAAAGUACUUAUUUUAUCCUUAUUCUUGGCAAAGCUGAUGUCUACUUUUAUUUAGUUUUGUGUAGAAUUUUCUCAUUUUUCAAAAGAAGUUAUUUAAAAAAUUAAAGUUUUUGGAAACGGUCCCUAAUUCUUGAUUUUCAGAAAAAUCUAAAAUAGACAUUUGUGAAAAAGAAAAAAAUAAAAAAUAAAUCGGAGGUUCGAAAUUUAAAAAAUUUUUAGAAUCCAUCACAAAACCUGAUGACGAAGCGAUUCUUGUCCCUGUUCUCGGUGCCUGCCUACACUCGAUUUGCAUUUUAUGCGCAACUGGUCUAGAAUCACCAAAUUCUUGUCCAAUUUGUGAAAACCCAGAAGCUUUUGGGAAUAUCAUCAGCAAUUGUACAGCUUUGAACACAAAGCGCCGAGUUUUGUGGAAGCUGUCAAACUAGAAGAGCAAAUUAUUCAAGACUAUGUAAUUUUAAUACAUUUUUUUAAAAUAUAAAACCUAUUAUUAAUUUUCAGGAUGAACCACCUCCGAACCUUGCCCCAGCUCCUUCGAUUCCACGUUUUGCAGCUGUUCCCGUGUUUCCUCGUUCUAGAAUUCCGGCUACUUAUCCAUAUCGAAGAUUUGAGCCGUACGUUUUCGACGGGCUUACUCGAAAUGAUGGAAAAUUGCUCCAAAAAAAACCGAAUUUCUCAUUAAAAAACACCCAAAAUCAGCAGAAAUUGUCAAUUUUUGUGUGCAUUUUUGGUUAAUAACUACUGAAAUCCACAAAAAAUUUACAAAAUGAUGCAAAAUCCGGAUGCGGAAAACUUGGUGAAAUUGAUUUCAGCUAAAUAUUGCCGAAAUUGCAUGAAAUUGGCAGAAAAAUAUCGGGAAUAUGCUGAAAACUGCGUUCUUAUGAAUAUUUAGCGAAAAAAUAAUUUUUUAAAGUGUUUUUCAUGGUAUUUCUGGCAAGUUGAAUCGAAAAAUCGAUUUAAAAAAAGAAUAAACUUCCAAAAUGUGACAAUAAAAAAAAAUUUUUAAUCCUUUUAAAAAAAUUCCGGACACAAUCAUUUUUAAAAAAGAUUUUUCGCGAAAAAGCAAUAUUUUUAUGAAGUUUGGCGAUUCUAGUUAAAUUUUAUAUGAAUUUUUUUUUUUUUAUAUCAAAAAUAUCGAUUUUUCUCCAUUUUUCAAAGAAACAAUCAUUUUUCUGGUGUGAAAUGGUUUAAGAUCUCUAUUUUUCAUUAAAAACCAAGAAAAAUAGGAAAAAAAAAUCAAUUUAAUUUGACUUUUACACUUUUACAAUAACAAAAAAAAAUCCUUCAUAAAUUCCCAUUUUUAUGACUUUUUCAGGAAAAAACCUCCAAAAAUUGAUUUAAUCGGUUAUUCUACUUAAAUUUACUAUGAAUUUUAUACUUUUAGAGCAAUAAAACCCCUAAAAUAAAAUAAAAAAAGAAAUCGAAAAGUUAGGUUUUUAAAUCAAAAAAAAAAUCAUAUUUUAACUUUAAAAUCAUUAUUAAAUUCGGAUAAAUUCCAAUUUUUUCCGAUUUUUUCGGAAAAAAAUCCAAUUCAAAUUUGCUAUGAAAUUUACUAUUUUAGAGCAAUAAAAAUCUUUAAAAAUUUGCAAAAAAAAAACCGAAAAGUAUACAUUUUCAGUUUCGAGCACACUUCAGAACACGGAUAUUCAUCAGUUGAACGAUAUAAUGAAGAAGUUGCAACUCGAUUUCUACUUGGAAAUGGACUUCCACUAACUUCAAUUGAAGAUCAUGAUUUGAGAACAUUUCUGACAACUUUAAAUCCAAGUAGAUCACUUCCAGAGCCAAGUAAUAUGACUACAAAAGCAUAUGGAGAAUAUAGAGUUGGUUAAAAUUCAAAAAUUUAAUUAAAAAUCCCAAGAAAACCUGAAAUUUCAGCCGUCACUGUCAUAUCAAAAAUCAAUUGGACCACUAAAUGUGACUAUUGAGGCGAUUCGGAAAAAUGAAAUUUUCCUUUCUAUUUCCGUUCAUUAUUACGAUUCACUUGGAGAACGGCAUAAUACUGUUCAUUUUGAGAAGAUUAUUCUGGCAGAGUUCGAUUUUUAAUUAAUUUUUUGUUUAAUUUUGAGGAGAAUUUAGCUUUAAUUUGCUCUAAAAAUGGCUCAAAAACUGAGAAAAAAUUGAAAAAAAGACAUUUUUGUGUUUUUUUUACAAAGGUGGAGUACCGAAAUCUGGGAAAUAUUUUCAAAUGACUCCAAUUUUUCCCCUGAUUCCGAAAAUCUAAGUGAAAAAAUUCAAAAAAAAAAAAAACAUUUCCCUGGUUUUAUAUUUAAGCUUGAAAUCCCGAAUUUCAUUUGUGCCUCGCUCUAUUUUUUGAAAUUCGCAUUCGCAUUGGAGCGCGCUUGCAUCGUUUUAUUUUUUCGUUAAUCUAUUUUGUCCGAAUUCAAUAUUUUUAAAAGCCAGUUUCAUUCGUUUUUGUUGAGAUUUGAAACAGGUUUUAAAACCAUUAAAUUAGGCGAAAAUAAAUAAAAAACGAAAAAAAUCAAACGAUGCAAGCGCGCUCCAAUGCGAAUUUCUUUGGGCGCAAAUUUCAAAAAAUAGAUCGGCGCACAAAUCAAAUUCGUGAUUUCAAGCCUAAAUAUAAAUCAUCAGGGAAAUUUUUUUGAAUUUUUUUCACAUUGAUAUUCGGAAUCAGGAGAAAAUUUGGAGUCAUUUAAAAAUAUUUCCCAGUUUUCGCUACUCCACCUUAAAAUUGCUCCAAAAAUAGUUCAAAAACUGAGAAAAUCGUCAGAAAAAUCAUUUUUCUCAUUUUUGCACCAAAUUUACUAAAUUUUAACCGAUUUUUUUGGUUUUUUUCCAGGAAAAGAGCAAGUUAAAGCAAAAUCCUCUGUCCACUUUAAAACAUUAACUCCGAAUAUAAUUUAAAUAUUUUUCAGUUAUGAAGGAAAAGUGGUGGCAGAUCGAUUGCGACGGGUUAUUGAUGCGAAUAAAUCGAUGAAUUUUGGAAUUUCGAAUAUUCUUUCUCCAAAUCUUCGAAUGUUGACUUUAGUAGCUGAAAAUAUGCCUUUUAAGAAUAG
rnacentral:sRNA from 1 species